rnacentral:lncRNA from 1 species
UUUUUUUUUUUUUUUGCCUUUUAGCAAAUUCCCCCCCGCGCCCCCUUUUUUUGUUUCUGUGAAGUGAUUUUGUUGUUGUUGUUGUUGCUGUUUGUUAGGUGUUUAGGCCGUUAUUGAAUGUAACAGCUGAGUUUUCGGCAGAGGAGUUCGAGACGGCGUUGAUCACUCCUAAUGAUACUUUAAGUGAUAUUCAUAUACCCAUUUUAAAGGUUGGUGCUUUUGGCUUUGCAUUAAAGUUUGUGUUUUUACUUUCAGUUCCGUUUUAGUUUCUAGUUCGAAUUUAGCCUUUUUGGUCAUCAAUUCAGUUCUUAGCGGGGCAAUGCCUGUACAUCUAGUCCUAUUUGCCAUUUUUUCAACUAAAUAAGAGGAAUGUACUUGCAAGGUUUAGUGCUUAAUUGUAGUUUUUGCGAUGCUUUUGUUGAUAUUUGGUGUAGCCUGUUCUUCAGACUUUUAAGUGAGAGGAACAGCAAAGAACACUACAGUUGUACUUGUUGAUGUAUCAUGGGUUUUUUUUUAGCAGAGAAUUAGCUCAUAAUGUAAUGUUGUGAUGUGAAAAAGGCAAUGGGAAUGUGAUUAUCAUUUGGUGAUGCUUUUUCCAUAUUCAUAUGAUGAAUGUUAAAAACUGUCGAUUGGAUAUUGAAUGUUAUGUUUGUAACUAGUAAUUUUCUCUCAAAACAAAGAAUCCAAAUACAGAUGCUUGAGUAUUUGGCAAUGAUUUUUAGGGUUCAAUACAACUAUACUAUUCAUCUGUCUAUUGCAUUGAUUGGUUACCACAGUGCAGAUAGAACUCCAUGACAUUGUAUGAGCAAUGAGCUAUGUUUGUCUGUCUUAUGAUUACAAAUUGUGCAAUGUGUUCCAUGAGUACAUUUUGUAGAUUUUGAGUCUCAAACAUUAAGUUCCUAGUUUUUGAAAUUUUGCCUUCUAUGGCAUGUACUACAAGGGCAUUUGAAUUUUGAAAGAAAAGUACAUCAAUUAAUCCUUUUCUGCUAUAGAGGACAAAAAUGAAUGGAAUUUAGAUUUAGAGCAAUAUAUAAAGAAGAUUUUUGUAGAGUGUGCAAAAGAGCUUUGGGUUUCUCUCACAUUGAAGCACAUUUAAAUUAGUGUAAGCAGACUUUUAAUGUUGAAAAAUCGAUUUUCAUUAAUAGUGUCCAUGAGGUUUGAUGUCUGCCUUUGUUAGUAGUCAAAUAAUGAAAACUUACUGUAGGAAAUUUUCCCUCUUCCUGGGAAGAGCUGAGAACAGAAAACCAUUUGGAAGGUUUUAUUGUAUGAUGUAUGAUUUUUCUUAAGAUGAAUUUGCAAAACUUACAGUUGUUUCCGCUUGUGUUUCUAUUCUAUGAGCCUCUUUGCCUUUGUAUAUUUAGUCACACAAUUUUGGCAUAUUGAUAAUUCAAAAUGAGAAACUUGAUUACUUGUCUGAUUUUUAGUGCCACUCAAACUUAGCCGCUGUUCUGGUCUUUCAGACCGUUUUAAGCAGUAAUGGGGAUAGUUUUCACUUGUAUAAUAGUGAGAAGCACUGGAGGUGCUCUGUUUCGAAGUUUCUCCUGUUGCUGCCUGGGCUCUUGCUCCCUGUCUUUUUUCCCCUUUCUUCUCUCUGAAGGAUGGGCUUCAACCUGAUAGUUGAGAGUUUGGACGAGAGAGUUUUCAUCUCUGAAGGAGUUAAAAGAUAAUGAGUGAUGCUGGUGAAAUUAUUAUUAUUUUAAAUUUCUCACUGCUGUUUUAGUUCAUAGACCUUGAGGUUUUGAAUAUAACCUCUAUCUGUUAAAUCUGAUUGAUGUUUUCAAAAGAUUUAAGGGAUGUUUACUUGGGAUAUGAUUUUCCUUUUAAUUAACAUUUUCCUUGAUUUUGUAAUGCGCUCUGACAUGUUCAUGGAACGUUGUUUAGAAAUUCAACAUUUUUUUAAUGGUACUUAUCACUUGCGAAUUUAAGUGCUAUUGCUUAUUUGUUUUAGUUUUCCUUGUUAUAGGCAAUCCCUCCUAUUACACGAAUGGCCCUUACACGUGAUACCUGGGUUACUGUUUUAUGCAGAAAAUUAAGAGACUGGUGGCACUGGGUAACUUGGUUAUUGAACCCUUAUCAACUGAUGCGUCAUACAUAAUAAGGUCAUUGCUAACAUAGGCUUAUAAUCUUAUUGUAGGUUGCAGAAGGGGAUCUUCCUAUUGUUGCUUCGCAUGGGUGAGUUUUUGCAUCUUUGAAGCACUUUACUAUAUGAUUAUCUCUGUGUUGCUAAUGUUGCAUGUUCAUGCUAAUUUCUUAGGACGGAGGUUGAAGUAUAUAAAACACUUGAUCCUGGGGUCCGUGUGGUUAUCUUGAAGGCACUUUGUGAUAUUCGUGUUGAGGUAUUACUCUUGUUAGUGAAAAAUACGUUGUACUCUGCAAUUGGGUAGUUGACUGUUUGGCACAUUAGGAUCCGACUCUUUUGUCCUCUGUACUACACCUUGAAACCUGUUGUGCUUAUUUGUCCAUCAUCAUACAUGAAACUUAAAUCAUAAUUUUGUUGAAUUAGUCUGCACAAAAACAUAGCUCAUCCAAUAAAGCCUUCAUUCCAACUGCUUAAAGUUAGAUUGUGAAUCUUUUGACUCUGUUCAACUGUAUCAUCUAUCAAGAACCCUAUUAAAUUAUUGGCCAUAUUAUGUUGCUGCUAUUCAUAUAUAUGUAUGAAUAGGCCGUGAUUUUAAUUUUGGUAACGAUGCCCUCCUAUUUUGUCAACAUAGUCUCUAGUGUCUACUAUGUACAAACAACAUAUACUGUGGUACUUCUUUCUCGGUUUUCUUUGUAAGUUGAACAUAAGAAACAUAAUCUUUGGUGAUAGAGGCUACACAUUGAUUUUAAAAGUCAGUUGUGAAAUCUAAUGUCAUAUGAUGGUACCAAGUUAUAAAUUCGAUAUAAAUUUCUUUUGCUUCCUCUAAAACCUUUCUGUAAAUUAACUAAGCAAGUAAUAGCUAUAUGAACAAUCUUUAUCACCAUCCUAAUCAGUUGAUUUCUGCAGCAAGAAGAUAUCCGGAACUAUAUUGACAACUCGCUUAAACAUGGUGUUCAACUUUCGGCAUUUCGUAAAGAACGUGUUGGGGGUGAUUCAUAUGGAAUUAAUUACUGGUAACAUAACUAAGUUUUUCAUAAGGAUCCAUUAAUGAUUUUGGCAAUUUCUACUUUCAAAUUGACUGAAUAAUGUCUCAUGUUAUCAGUAGAUGAUUUUUUUGGUAUGUGAAAAUGAUGUAUGGUAUUAGUAAUUUGGUGCAGGUAUGAAGAUGAUCCAGUAGUAGGCCAUCGGUUGUACAGAGAGAUAAGAAAAGUUGAGGUGAAGAAAGUGAAAGCCAAGGGUUCCAAUGUCCUUCCUAUUGCUACAUACCAGUGGGAAACAGUUGCAACUAAUUUGGAAGAAUUUCAAGAUGUUUCUGUACGUGUGUAUAUUUCUGUCCAUGUGUAAAGUGGACUUUUUUCGCUUCUCUGUGUUGUGAGAUCUAAGAAUGUCAAAUAUGGUCAAUUACCUGAUAUUGCGAGAGGACAUGCAGGGCUAUAUAUAUAUGUGUGUGUGUGUGUGUGUAUGUAUUUUCCAAGAUGGUUUUAUCUGUCCUACACUAAAUUUUUGGUACUGCUCCUACAGGAAAAGCUUUUCUCUAGCAAAAAUAGAACCGAGGCAUCCCUUGGGAAGAAGUUAAAGAAUGACAUGCUUCCAGAAAUUGAGAAGGAACAUAAGGUACUUAAAACUGCCUUUUUCCAGGUUCCAUAAGCCCUGUUAUGGGGCUGUAGUUGUGUUUUUUUUAACUAGCUGAAAAAAGGAUUGCCUCAUCUUUUCACUGGCAUUUUGUGAUGUUUCUCAGUUGUGUGGUCUCUGUGAUGUUUCAGUAAAUAAUGCUAUCCCAUUUGCUGUUUUUAUGUUCUCAGAGGAAAGAGAAAUUACUGAAAAAGCAGCACAGACAAGCUCUGCUUCUUGAUAACUUCAUAAAUGUCGAUGGGCUUGGUCCCGGACGCUCCCUUCGUGACAGAAAACCUGUCACUUAUACUUUUGGUGAGAAGAACAAAAUCUAUUUAUCAAUCUUCUCAAUAUCUUGUUCUGCUUCCUGUUAAUGAGAGCCCCCAAGUUUAGGGAUUAUGGAUUGAAGGAAUUCUGACAUGUCAAAACAUUUUUGCAGACGAUUAUGACCGAUCAAUCAAUGAGGCUAUCAAGAUAACCAAGUAUGGAGAUUUUCCCUGAAUCCUUGUUUUUGGGUUUACAUUCUAUAUAGCUUGUUGGGAGGGGGAAAAAUGUAUGUUUGGACAAUAUUCUGUUGUUUGAUGUCCUUGUUCUCUACUUUUGUAUCAGGCGGAAGCCAUCAUCCCCAGAGCCUAAUCUAAGAAGAGAAGUCGGUUUCAAAUCUGAAGCUUCCAUGAAUGGUAAAUGGAGUGAUUCUAUGCAUGCCUCUGAACAUGUCACAUUCAAUGCGCUGUCCCCUAAUUCACUUGAUUAUGAUGAGUUUGAUGAAGAGCGUAAACCUGAAUCAUUGGACCGAAGGUAAGAUAAGUUUGUGUUAUUUUCAUUGCCUUGAGACUUUUAAGAAAUUAACCAUGACAUAAAUUAUAAAAGGAAUUAACCAUGACAUAAAUUAUGUUUAGCAAUCGGCGAAGACAGAGGCCUCAACGAUAUUCAGUCAAAGAGUUCGUUGAAGCUGUUUCAGAUAAUGAUGCAGAUUUUGACAGUGAUGAUGAUAUAGUUGGAGAAGUUGUAUAUGAUGAGGAAUAUCUGAGGAAACGUAAACAGAGAAAGCUUUCCAGCAGCUCGGAAGGAGAUGAGGAAUACCAUUGGGAUGAAGAAAAUGCUGAAGAUGAGGAAGAUGAAGAAGAAGAAGAUUCCUUGAGUAUCAGUGAGGACAGUGAUGAGCCUCAAAAGGUUAAGAAAUUGCCAGGCCGUACUCGGAGGGAAACUAAAUUGAGGUCAGUAGAUGAGUUGCAGUCAGGUCUAAGACGCAGUAAAAGGGCCUCCAGAAACCGCAUUAAUUACCGACAGUAUGAGUUGUCUGAAUCAGAUACAGAGUCGGCAAAGCCCAAUAAGUCCAGUGAAUCAGAUAAACAAUCAGAUGCAAGUGAGAACGCAGAAUAUUCAAUGGGUAGUCAAGAGUCAGAUGGCAAUGAUGAUGACCAGGAGAUAAAAGUUGAUCAACCAGUUGAAGGUUAUGCCGAGACAGUUGAGAAAGAAGAGCAAAGUCAGCCACCAGAGAAACCAAAUAGCCCAGGCCAAACAGAAGUUGAAGGAGUGAAAAAGAGACGUUUCCUUGACCUAAAUGAGCUUGCCCCGGGUUCUGGUUUUGAUGAUGGUCCAAACUCGAUAAAAGAUGAUGAUACAGGUGAUUUAUAGAGCUAUCCCAUAUGCUGGAAAGCAAGAGCAGUAGUUCUGUCUCGGGGAAGCUUAGUGUACGAUAGUAAGAGCUAUAAAUUUUGGAUUAAGCUUAUCGUGGAAGUUACAAUCAGAGCCCUUCCAUGGCUUAAUAUAAGCAACUCCCUUGAUGCAAUUAAUUCCAAAAUUUGCUGUGGGGAGCAACAGAAUGCUGAGAGCUAUGUAGAUUAGGUAGUCAUUUUUUAGUAUGUCUACAUUCAAAGAAACCUACGACAGGUGGAUGGGUAUUAGUUGAGAGUUAUUUAGCUUAUCCCAUUAAUGUACAAUAACCUUUAACUAAUGUUGUAACUGAUAAAUUUGGCUUUUAGAUGUUCAAGCGCCGUAGUUUAUAUUUCAUGAUCAUGAGUAUGAUCUGCCUCUUGAGCAUUUGGGUUGGUUGGGCCUGUUGGUAACAUAUUGAGCUUACAAAUGUUAUCUUUGUUGUAACUGAACCAUCCUCCCGCAAAUGGCAACAACUGUUUCUCUUACUAUUCUUCUACUCUUUCAAUUGCACUCAACUAUGUGUUCUAUAUAUCGAAGUGUUGCAUUGCUCUGUUUUCAUGUGGGUUCACUAAAUUGUUUUAAUAUGUUGAUGAAACAGCUUUUUUUUUUUGGCACUAAUCAAAUAGGUUAAGUAGUAGUAUUAUUAUUACACAACUCAUUCCAAUAUGAUGUUCAGUCCACUAUUAACAUAGACAUAUUCCUCGUAAAAAUUUCGUAGAAAAAUUAUUCCUAAAGAUAGCCGAUUUCAUGAGUCACAAUAAUUAUUGCUUUUCAACUCUGUUUUUUGGGUCGGCAUCAUUUUCCUUGCUCUGCUCCUCUCUUGACUCCUCAGCUUGCUUCCUUUCUUCCUCAGCUUGCUUCCUUUCUGCUUCUUCCUUCCCUUCCUUGAGAGCUUGAAUCAAGCUUGAAAGGCAUUUCUCUACAUUGUCAGAUGGAGAUUUAGGCAUCAGAUUCUCAGCAACAUCGGCAGGUGUGAUCUUGGUAUCUUCCAUCAGCUUUUGAAUUGUUUCAAACAAUGUAUGAGUUUCCACAUUCAGAUAAUUCUUCGCAAGCACUUUGAAUCCCUGGAAUGUGCAGUAAGAGAGCUCUAUAUGUUUAUCCAUCCUGCCUCUUCUAAUCAAAGCUGGAUCAAGCUUCUCCACAUAAUUGGUGGUGAAAACAAUCAGCCUCUCCCCUCCACAAGCCGACCAUAGUCCAUCAAUAAAAUUCAGUAACCCUGAUAAAGUAACUUUGCUGCUGCCCUCUUCCUUUGGUUCCUUGCGCGAAAUCUCCUUAUCCAGCUUUUCUUUCUCAUCAUCCGACGACUUCUCAGCUUUCUUCUUCCUCUGACCUGUUAGUUCAAGCGAACAAUCUAUAUCUUCAAUCACAAUAAUUGACUUACUAGUCGUCUCAAUCAAAAGCUUCCUGAGCUCUGUAUUGUCCUUAACAGCUGUGAGCUCAAGAUCAUAAACAUCAUAAUUCAACAAAUUUGCCAUGGCAGCAAUCAUAGUAGACUUGCCAGUUCCUGGAGGACCAUAAAGAAGAUACCCUCUUUUCCAAGCCUUCCCAAUCCUUGCAUAAAAAUCUCUACUUUUGCUGAAAGUAACAAGAUCUUCAAUAAUCUCCAGCUUCUUCUCUGGCUCCAACGCCAUUGUCUCAAACGUUGCAGGAUGCUCAAACACAAUGUGACUCCACAUAGUUUGCUUGUAACUUGGCCACUUGUAACCAGGACUGUUUGUGUAAAGCUUCCUCUGCCGAUUUCUCACUCUGAUUUCUUUCCCUUCCUUCACUACAUGCUGCAAAUAAGACUCAGUUAUGAUCUCCCUAUACCGCUUAUGAAAUGUGAGCCUGUAGUAUCUCUUCUCCUGCUCAGGAUAAUAUGACAUGCCCCUCGUUGUUGACACGACUUUGCUUGAAACCCACCAAACUUUUACCCCGCGGAACUCGUCAGUAACUCUCUCAUACUCAUCCAUGCUAAGCACCAAGUUGCUGCUGUCUUUGCCCAUCUCAGCCUUGAGUCUUUUAGCACUCUUGGAUGAGUUGACGCUAAGAUAAGCCUCAACAGCAGCAUAAGCCUCGCUGCGCUUGAGGCGAUCACCCGUGAAUUCAUGGAUUGAAAUCUUGAUGUAAGGAUAAAAGAACCCCAUGAUUCUGUGCGUAUACUUUUCAAAGUGGCGGCGAACUUCAUAUGGGCAAUACUGGCGAAUGAUAGCCCACACAAACAUGAAACUUGCUAUUGUCGAACCCAUUGCUGCCAACAUCUCAGUCACUGUCGCUGGCACCAUCUUUCUUUGUUUUACAGUUGCUUUUACUCAGGCCAGGCCAAGCUAAGCGAAAAGAGUAUUGUAUUUGUGAUAAAGCUUUGUGAAUUGUGCUUCUUUUAUUCUGUUUGUUAGGCCUUCGAAUCAUAACAUUGUUAGUCCCUUAAAUAAAGUGAAGAAAGAGAAAACAGAGUAGGUAAGAGUAGAGAAUUGAGUCAUUACUAAACACCGCUUUUUAUGGACACAAGUGAUAUACGGGGAAAUUACCAUUUUCUCACUAUAAAUGUUUAAAAGGCUAAAAAUAUUAUAAAACUUUUAAAUCUAUCAAUUUUUUUAAUAUUGAUUACGCAUCAAAUUACUGUACAGCGGACCAUUACAUUGAUAUUUACAAUUAGAUAUAUGAUUGAGAUUUAUAUUAUUAAAUUAAAUUUUAUAAAGUCAAUUUUUUUAAUAUUGAUUACGCAUCAUAUUAUUGUACAGCAGACCAUUACACUGAUAUUUACAAUUAGAUAUAUAACUGAUAUUUAUAUUAUUAAAUUAAAUUUUAUAAAAUACAUGUCCAGAAAAAUAACUCUCACACACGAGCGAUGUCUCUACUCCACUAGCAUUUCACAAAGAAGAAAGAUUUUUAAAUUAACUUCACACAAUUAUGCAUAAUUAAGUAUAAAGUCGGGUCGGUCUUAGACAUCACUUGAUAAAUUUGGAAUCUGAAUUUUAUUAAAAAAUAUUUAUUAUUUUAAAUAUUUAUAUUUAUUUGACUCAUUUAUUACACAUAUAUAAAAUUUAAAACACUUAAAGUUUAUAUUUUCAUGUCAAAUUUUAUUGAAAUAAAUUUAAAACUUAUAAAAUUACCAAAAAAAUAUACACCUAUAAUAUUAAAAAAUAUAAAAUUUGGGUACCCGAAUUAAAAUUUGGCUCGAUGUCGAGCUUAAAAAACCCAGCCCAGACAUUUAAAAAUUACGUCUGGGCUGGAUCCGGGCAUUGCGAUACCCAAACUCGGCCCGAAGUUUUGCCAAUCAUGAGAAUUCGAACUACUGUUCUCACAAUCAUACUUAACUGUGGAGAUAAUUGUUCACCACUCAGCCAAAACCAAAAUCAAUCAUUUUUUAAACCAUACAUAAAAUUUUUUAAAAAGUAUUAUUGUUACAGCUUCCCCAUAAAUCUGUCAGAGAAUCUAUGUCAAAAGAUUAUUUUACGCUACGAAUUUAAUUUAACAUUAUGAUGCAAGGUAUUCUUAAAUAAUGAAUUAAAUAAGGCAAAUAGUGUGAAUUUUGUUUCGAAUGUCUGAACAAAAGUGAUGCAAACAUUUUGCGAAAUGUGCAUCAAGGAUCUGUUUAAAUUCUAUUAUUUGAUUAUGAAUGGAAUAGAAUUCAGUUGGUGCGUCUACGUGGACCGCGAUAGAAAAAGACAAAUGAUGCAGUCGGCGAGUCCACACCAUGUGCUGUAAAUAAAAACAAGUCACAUUUUGAUCCGCUUAAUGACAAAGAAAGAAGGCAAAGUUAAGUGAAAAGUGGGACUUGGUUGACGUUGACGCUGAUUUUCAAAAUAAAGUGAACGAAUCUUGGAGGGGAUUGAUCUAAUCAUCUAUGCUUUGAUCUUGCUUGCUCAGAAAUUUCCAAGUCAUUCCCCAUCAAAUUUGUGGGGUUGAAAAGAUUGGGGAUUUGCUUGGGAAGAAUCACUCCCAAGAGACUGCACUCUGCACUCGUCUUUCAGCCUGCUGUCUAUCUGCAUGUAGCAUCAUCGGGGACGAAAGUAGGAAACUUCUGGGAAAUUUUUGAAACGUUUUGCAAUGAUAAUGAAAGCUGUGAAGUCAUCUCAUGACAAUAAGCAUGACGACACUCACUGCUUCGAACCUUAUUAUCAAAGUCAACAAAUGGGUGUGUAUGGGAGCUGGCUAAAGCUGGAACUGUAAGUUACAGAAUCCGUAACUUGCCAGCUCCCCGUUUCUAAUCUAUUAUUCAACAACUAUAAUAAAUUUAUAACACGUCCUUUCAAGAUUUGUAAAGCCGUAGCCACUAGCCAGCCAUAUCAUUUGUUCAACCUUAAAUCAUUGGAGCCUGUCGAGUGUCGAAAAUUCUAGAAAAUAAGAACGCAAAUAUCAAGGAGAAUAAUGGUUUUGUUCUGAUGUUUUUGUUUUUAAAUUUUUAGUAGAAUGAGAUACGUAUAACCAAAAAAACUUGGAGAUUGUUUGGACUCUGGCGAGUGGUGACCCGACCCAGAAAGUAGGUGUCAGCAAAUAUGUGGCCACUCAGUGUAAAGCAUUGUUAUUAUCAUUAUUAUUAAAGGACACCAGUAGUGGAAUAGACGAGUUAGUCAUGUUUUGGACUUCACUUUUUUGAUCAAUGGUUGAAAGGAGACAACCGCUCGAGUCAAAUCAACUCACGUGGGUUAGUCCUAUGAGCAUAAACUUUGGGGCAAGUACAAGUAACAUUGCAAAAAUUAUUGUUCUUUUUUCUUUUGUUUUGGAUUGUUUAUUUUUUUGGUACGGAGACAAAUAUUGCUAUUAUUAUUAUUCACCAAAACAAUAAUACCCCGCGUGACAAUGAUAUUACUCUUAUGACACUAAACUUGGGUAUUCAUUCAUUUGUCAUCUUUACCAUUUGCGCAAUAUGCCAAGUUUUAUAAUAAAUAAUUAUAAACUUGUAAAGAUCGCCCGCCGUCCAUUCAUGAAUAUUAUUUAAUGCACGCAGCCUAAAUGGAUUAGGCACUCACUCUUAAUAUCUUUUUGUUUUUGGAACAUGCACUUGUAAUACAUGGAUUCCUCCUCAUUCCUCAACCAAAAAGGCAAAUAAAGUAAGUUGGUAGUGUGACACAUGUUUUCAUUUAUUAAUUAUUUAAGGUCUUGGUGGUUGGUAGUAAAGAACAAAAACUUAUUAUCAAAAGUGCAGGUUUUAUAAUAGAUAAGGAUCCGUUUAAUAUUAGUUGAAAUAAUUUAAAUCUGUCUAAGCUGAAAAUAGUGUAUAUCAUUCUAAAGAAUGGAUAAGGUUGAUUUAGAUUAGUUAGAUGUUUUUUGAAUUAGCUUCUUAGGUGAGUUAGUUAGCCAAGGAAAGCUAAACGACUCCAGUUCAGUUGUGCGGAUGGUGUGGAGCUCCUUCAAAGCAACUGAGACAAAGGUAGUUUUUGAACAGCUGUGGUUGUUCCAGUGCAUAAACUAAGCUGUUGUUAGUGCUAAUUGCUGUGAUGAAGUGAAAGCCUAUUGUAUUCACAUGAGCUUUUAGAAAAAGAAAGGUGCAUUGAGCUCUACGAAGAACGCGGCAUCGGCGUUCAUGGAUACGCUACGUUCGAUCAUAACCAUCACCUUUUGCAUUUUCAGAGCUUUAGAUUCUUGAUAUCUUCCUCAUUGGCAAACCAGUCUGGUAUUAUCCGUGCCAAAUGAGGGAAAAGAUCUUUGUAGACAUUCUUGAUGGUCCCUUCUGCUACUCUCGUAACAAUGGAGAUCUCUGCAAAAACAGGGGCAUGAAUGGCAUCUGAGUAAGCAUAAUUUCUAAAAGAAUUGAUAGCUUUCUAACCUUUGAGAGGCUUUGUGUCAUUUGAUAGCUGAGUUAUGAUGUAAAUAACAGCUGCCGCCACUGAGAUCGGGCUUCUCCUGUGAAAGCAAGCAAGAAUUUUGUUUUACCCAAAGCCAAUGACACCAUCUACAUACACUAUUCAUUUAUGAUUAAUUUUCUAAUGGAGUUGUUAAAAAAUUUCACAGAGAGAGAGGGAGAGAGAGAUAAAUAAACAAAUAAAUAAAACAGCUUCACAGGUUAUCUGAUGCUUCCUUUCAUUUGACAAAAAGGCAAAUGUUCAUUAACAGCUUCUAUGUCUAUGAUCCAAAGCCAUGUGAAGAUCUACUGAAAUGAAGUUAGACAAACUCAAUCAAACAAGAGAAGACCACAUGAAAUAAACUCAUUUCUCUCCCCCACCACGACUCCUUUCUUUCUUUCUUAUAUUUUUCUUCUUCAAAGAUAAUUAUGUGUUCAUAGGGUUCAACUAAUAUAUUCUUAGUAUCCAUAACACCGAAAUGUAUAAAUGCAUCUCAUAAAAGCCCAAACUAUAAGUUGAAUGUGAGUUUCUACCAAGAAAAGUGAAAAGAAAACCAGAAUUAACCUUAUGUCGAGAUCUUCAGAUUUCUGAACAGCCUCUUGAGCAGCCUUAACAGCUUGAUUCGUCAUUCCAAGAUUGGAACAAAAACGUCUCUAUAGAUUGAAGAUAAAAUUUAUGUAAAUGGAUGCAUUGGAUUAGACAAAUAAGGCCACAAGGAACAAAAAAUCAUACACGAAGAAAAAUCCAAUACGAACAGAAAGAAAAAAUUUUAAAAAAUAUUCAACAAAAAUAUCACCAGAUAGUCUGAAGCAUGUAUAGUUCCCAUUUCCACAGAUUGACCCAUUUCUGCUUCUAGGUGUUUCACGAUGAAUUCUUUUGCCCGUCCUAUUUCUUUCUUUGUUGUCCCAUUAGCAACAGAACAAAAUUCUAGUUGAAAUCUAUGUAGUUAGCAUAUGAAACCUUACAAUGCAAAGAGGAAGAUCAAGAAAAUUUUUAGAGAAAGUUUGCUCAGUACCUUUCACAGUCCUGGGUUUGUUUUCUUGUCGGCAAGCAAUGUAGAGGCAAGCAGCCACAAUUGCUUCCUGAUUUCGUCCUCUAAGAGGUUUUUGAUCUUCUACCUUCUUAUAGAUUUCAUUAGCUCGAUCCUUAAAGUCAUAAGUAGAAACAGUUAGCAGAUGAUAAAAGCUCUAAAACAAAAAGAUUGGACCAAACCGUUUGAAAGUAGAAACCAGCAUAGCAUGUUCGAGAAAGGAAAGAUAAAACUAAAAUAUGAUAGCAUAUAUAAAUCCCAAAUAGAAGCAUAAAUACUAAAAUAUCAGACAAAAUAAUUCUAAAAAGAUAUAUGCUAGCCAAAUUGUGGUUUAAUCAAUUGAUAAUCAAUGAUGAAGUUCUGAAUCUUUUGUGUGAAGCUUUGUGUGUUUUGACCACACUACUUAACAUUCCACAGUUUACCCUAAGAUCACGAUUGAUUCAUCUAUGAAUGCCAUGUUUGUAUCUUUCAGUUCCUCAAGCCUAAAAUUUAUACACGUAUGAUAACAACAACCAUAAAUUGAAUGUUGGCCCGAGUGCCUUAACUGGAGUAAAUUUGACAAUACCAACAAAGCUAGUUGGCAUUGAGAAGGGUAUAGCUUAAGCAGAAGGCUAAUUAAACUCUUCCUUUAUUGAACUCUUAUCAUCCCACCUCUUUCACUCUUUCCUAACCUUCAUCUUUAUCCUACCUGAGCUCUGUCUAAGACAAAUCAAACAUCACUUUCUAACCUCCAUUGCCAGUGUUCUUUAUAAUAUUAAGUUCACUAUGAAAUUCAGGACUGCCAACCCAAUUGGGUGAAUGGACACAAGAAUCCUCGUAUUCAGGCAGAAUCAAUUUCCAAGAAGUAUACAAGAAAAAUUCAAAUGCACACAUGGUAACAGAGCAAUCAACAGUAUAUCUGAAUAGUGAAGAAGCAAUAGCACCAGUAAUUCUAUUUAAAAAAAAAAAGAAAUUAUUACAUAUACUAAAUACCUUUAUGGUUGUAACAAGUCCCAACCUGAAACACCCAUAUCUUGCAUUAGCUAUAACAGCAAUUUAUUCAACUAUGAAGAACCAAUAUUUUCAUCAGGAAAAUGACUCCCAGAAAAUAAUAUUUCAAUGACUCACUAAGCAAAGCAUAAUGUAGUGUACAAGUCUAAAGCUGAGGAAUAUUCAAGAAUGAACUUGGGAAACAAAAAUGCUAUUCAUUGAAAGUCUCAGCAGUUUAUGCUCAAGGUAUACGCGAAAACACAAACAAUGAGGUAAAGUCCGUCCCCUGGAGGCAUAUCAGAAAAAUAAAAAAAAACAUGCUCCUCCUUAACCAUACAAAAGUUUGCUUACUACUUGAACAAUGUCAUGCAGCAAGCGUCUUGUAUUUCUGUCUUUAGUUAAAAGUCUUAAGUUAUAUAUUAACAACUAUUGAUCUUCGAAUUGCAGGUCAUUUCAGAUAAGAAUAAGACAAUCCUCAUCAAGAACAUCUAGUAUAGCAAAAUGUCCACCAAUAAAGUAAGCACUGGACUGCAAGAGUGAGACGCAACAACAUGUGCACGUUAAAUUAAAUAAAAAUUAACAUAUAGAGUCUCUCUCACAGAAUGCUGCAAGCAAGAAACAUAUUGCAUAAUGCCCAUCUAUAAUCAUUUCAUAUAUAGAAUUGCAUACAUAUAUACAUACAGUUGGCCCAACUAAACAGCUCAUUAAAUUAUUGAAAACUGAAAACGAUUUUCACACAGCAAAAUUAAGGAAAAAAAAACUGAAAAAAGGGGAGGGGUGGGGGCCAGCCAAUGCAAAAUAAAAAAAAAAAAUGGAAAGGAAGAGAAAAAUGCACGAUUUAAAUUUAGAAUUACACCUAUCAGACAUGGCAGAAAUAGACUUGAAGGCCUGAAUAAGGUUCCUAUCAGGAUGGGAACCGCGGGCCUGCAACUUGCCAAGGGAGCCAGACAAAAGCUCAGUGGAGCCGCCAGCAGUAGGCUUGGCAAUAACAGUGGAUAGGCCGCCGUCGCUCAAGAGAGGGUUGAGGGGCCCACCGACACGAACGGGGUCGUGAUCGGAGGACUCGUUGGCGAAAAUACGCCAUUCGGAGGUUUCGUCGACGGAGUAGGCCUCCAAGACGAGACCGCACUCAGAGCAAAUGGUGUCGCCGGCCGAGUGGUCGAACACCACCUCCGUCAGUCGCUUGCAAUCUGCGCAGUACGAGUCCGCCAUAGGAAGAAACAAGGAAACAAGAAAGAGGUUUUAAAGUUUCAGUUUCAGUUUCAGUUUCGGUUCAGCAGCACUGAAUAAAUCAUAAAUGCGCGUGUGCUUUCGUUCUUGUUGCUGCUGCUGCUGUCUACUCUACGAGUCUGCUCCGAUGCGUCUGAGCGAGUGAGGCGUUUUAUUUGUGAUGUGAUUAUUUUAUAGUGGGGCCAUCCGCGCUUCAGUGGGGGUUCCUGCCAGCUCAUUCUUUCUGUGAAAAGUAAUAACUAUUUACGAGAAUGGCCCGAGUAUUUGUCCUAAUUUAUAAAUAGUGGUCCAAUUUUGAUUCCUUCUUUUCUUUUAGUACCCAAAGUAUGAUGAUUUUGGCAAGCGGGUUGUUUUAUAGAUCGGUCCUAAUUUUGGAUAUUUUCUUUAAAUUUUCUAAACGUACGCCCUAGAUAUUUUUUAUGACUCACAAUCAUACGAGUGGAAUGAAAUGAUGAUUCUCAUGCGUUAGGUGCAGAGUUCUGCAACUUAAUUUUUUUAAUUUUUUUUUUUUUAUUGAACAUGUAACAAGCACGUCUCUUUUUUGUUCAUUUUCAUAACACUUUUUUUCUCUCACUGAUUGACAAUCGCAGAGCGAGCCAGCAGAUGAUCUCUGAUUCUCAGUCAUCCUACAAAUGUCCAAGCCACAGAAAAUUGUUGCUACUUUCAUUUAAAUAUUCCUCAUUCCUCUGAAAAUACUAACAAUAUAAACUCGUUUUACAUGAAUAUACCUUAACAAGGUAAACAAAAACCAACCCUAGUUGACGAUUCUCGACUUUUACGAUAAGGAGGAGUAAUAACUAAUCAGCGAGUUCAAGUAUGUCGAACAAGCCAGCCACGUGAGAACUCAUACUCUCACAAUUGUGAGAGCAUGAAUUCGAGUUGUCAUAUUGUAAUACGGGCACUUAGGUGGCGUUUGUUUUUUAACUUAAUGACUUAAAGUGACUUAACUUAAUUAAUUAAGUUAAUUAGAGGUGUUUAUUUUUAUAACUUAAUGUGACUUUUUAGAUAAUUUUGACUUAAUAAAAUAAGCUAAUUUUUUUGGCUUUUUACUUAAUGGAGAAAUCUGAAUUAAGUCAAUUACUUGCUAAUGUCAAAAAUAUCCCUGUUUUAUAAUUUAUUUUUCAUGUCUAUCCCAAAACUCACCUAUAGAUAUUUACCCCACAUAAAAAUAUCCAUGUUUUUUUCUUUCUUAUAUUAUAUAUGAUAAAAUUUGAAAUUUAUGGUAUUUUAUAUAUUAAAAUUCUAAAAUAAUUAUGUAUUCACUUGAAUAUAGUUUUACUUAUAAAUGUUAAAAUAUUGUGGUAUUUAAUAUAUUAUUUAUUUGACAUUCAAAUUUAAUAAGGAUACAAAUGUAAAAGUACAUAUUUUCAGCUUUUUAAGUUGAAAAAAAAAACUUAAUACUUAUUUUUCGAGAUUCAGACAAAAAAACAAACAUAUUAUUCAGAUUCAGACAUUCAAACCUAUUCAGAAUUCAGACUAAUUCAGGUCUAUUCAGAUUUCAGACAAAAAAAUAAACGCCACCUUAAUUUCUCUCUUAAUUAAGUGAAGAUAUUUUUUUUCUUUACAAAGUGUGAGUAGAUUAAACGUCUCUUUAAUAUUAGUAUGAGUAGAGUAGUAGUAGUCUAAUAUGCGAGUAAAUUAAACGUCUUUUGAAUAUUAGUGAGGGUAAAAAUCCUAACAGAGUAGUAGUAGUCUAAUUUGUAAAAAUCUGAGCAUGCUUUAUAAGAUUUAAUGUAUGUAAAGUAGUCUAAUUUGUAAAAAUCUGAGUAUACUUCAUAAAAUUUAAUAUAUGUAAAUUAGUCUCAGUAGUAGUUUAAUUUAUAAAUAAUAACUUUUUUUUUUUAAAUAAGGGCAUUUUUUUAAUAUAAUUUUUUCACAUAACUUCUCAUACAUGUGCAAAAAAAGACAAAGUCAAAUGAUUAGAAGCCUAUAUUUGGUAUUUUGAGAUUAUUGUGCAUAUCUAGUACAAUUACCUCAAAAUGUUGGUUGCAUUGUAUAAAUAGUAAGCUAUUUAAAUGUUUGAUAAAUUUUAUUUUGAAAAAUACUAUGAAUUUUAAAAAUUUAAAUAUCCUUGAUAAAUUUUAUAAUUAUAAGAAUGCAAAUGGUUAAAAUAAAAAUAUUAUUAAAUUCCAUGGGUAAGCCGGAGCAUCCACACACUCAUGCACCCACACACAAAUACAUACAUUUAUAAUAUAAAAUAUUUUUUUAUUGUGUUUAUAUAAUAGUUGUAACUAAAAAAUAUUUGUAUUUUAUUAAUUUGAUCUUUAUAUUUUGUUAUCUCAAAAUAAUUGAUAAAUAAAAAAGUUAACUAUAAUUUUCAUAGAUAACACCAACAUUAUUUAAUCAAACUACAAUCAGUUAUAUUUCUUAAAUUUGAACAUAAAAAAAAAAAAAAGUCUAAUGUGCUACAAAAUCUCAAAAAAAAAAUAUAUUAUAGUAAUGAUUAUUUUAAAUUUUAAAUUUUUAUUUUUAUUUUCUAAUUGAAUAAGAAUAAAUUUUUGUGUAUGUAAUAUAUGUGAGAGAAUGAAAAUGUAUUAAAGAUAAAACUGAAUUUGCAAAUCACCAAAAUCAACUUUUAAGAUCUCAAAAUCAUUUUUAAACCUAAAAAAUAACCUCAAAUGAACGCUAAGAAGUUUAUCACACCCUAACAAUGUGACAAUGUCAGUUAACAAAAUUGGUAAUUACAAAAACGAUCGGUACUAGUCCAGUAUAUAAUAAUUUACCCAUCCAAACCAUGGGUAUAUAUGCGUCCAGCAAUAAAUUUGUGCAGAUAUUUUUAGCAUUUUUAAGCGGUUUCAUACGAGUUGUAUAUGUGUGCAUAGCUUUCAUAACAAAUAAUUAUAUCAAACAAAUAAUUAUACAUCAAUUAUUUAUAGUGGAUACCAUUCAACAAGAAUUAUAAACCCAGCUUUGUUAAGAUCAUUGGAUUCUCAUGAAGUGUCAUCAUAGACUGGCAUUUUCAAAUAAACUUAAGUAUUAUUUAAGCAAAUGAUACUUGAGAUGUACCGGUCACCAGAAUGAUCAUAAACAUGGCAAUGAUAUCAAAACUUUUCUUCAUUUUUUUUUCUUUUUUCCAAAUUAUAAAAGCUAGGGGUUAGUUGUGAAUAAUUGAAGCACGCAUUGCAGCUAUAUAUAUCGUACUUGUAGAUAGUGGAUUUGUGCUGUCAAUUAACAUGAUCACAUGUAAUAUUUGCCUAAUGCAUGAGACGCAUAUAUACGUCGCGUUUGUCGUGCCCCAUGCUUGACGAUUUUCAAUUAAUCUAAUUAGUAUGCGAAACUGGACAACAAGUAAUUAUCAGUUUAUCAUCGUGAUUCGCGUACGUCGUUCUUCUGGGGUAGCAAUGGCUUGACCAGCUUUUAGCUACGUUACAAAAAGAGUUUUGAGUUAAUUUGUCAAUUGGACUUUUAACGAUGGGACUUGCCGCGCUUUGGAAAAAAUUAAUGUCAUUUUCAUUUUUUUUUAAUUUUAUAAAUCAAUUUUUUUAAUAUUGUUAUAGAGAGCACUGAAACUAACCCUAUAAUACUUUUAUGGAGGUUUGAAUUCUUAUCAUUUAUUCUUUUAUGGAGACUUGAACCUUUCCUCUCAUUAAUGGAAAUUUAAGGGCUCUUCCACUAAAACUAGAAGCUUAUUGGUAAUUUCAUAAAUCAAUUUUUUAAAAAUAAAUAAAAGGAAAAUUGGAUAAUAAUGUGAACUCAUUUGGACGGAGUAAAAUAAGUCUUACAGAAUCUACAAUGUAUAUAGUUAGGAUGAACUUUGAUAUAUCUAUGAUAUAUUAAUGACAGUCUCAUGAAGAAAUUCUUAGUAAUAUAUAUCAUGACUAUAAUAAAACAUGGCACAAAAUAUAAUAGCAAUACUAGAAUUUCGCUAUUUAAGUCCCAAUUUAGUAGCAUAUCUUAAUCUGACAAUGACAAUUAAUUUUUUGAUUUCAAGUGCUAGCAUCUAUAUUAGUUCAUUUUCUAUCUUGUGUCUAAGAUAAUGAUCAUGAAUUUCACCGACUUUAACACAUCGAAUGUGUUCUUGCAUUGUUGGAUCAAAUUUUGCCAUCACUUCAAUUAAACUUAAAAAAGUUUUAUUUGUCUAUUAAUAGAUCUUUUUUUUUUUUUUAUAACAAAAUGCUCAAUUAUUUUUAGCAAGAUUCUUUACAAUAGUGGUAAUUCUUAUCGUUUCAAAGUUCUUUUUCCUUGUCAAUUCUUUCUUUAACAUAUUUAUCAAUUCUAUGUUCAAUGGUUGUUUUAUGAUUUUUAGUUUAGGACAAAGAUUUUUCUAAUCUCUUGUUCCUUCAUCAUUAAGCUGAUUUUUGCUACAAUGUUAUAUCAUUAAAUUAUAGUUUUAUGUUUAGACAACUCUAAUCAACAAUAUUCUGUGUGGACGACACUAUGUUAGGCUUCAAAUGUGUUCUCCUUCCAAUAUCUUUCUGUUUUGAUAUUUUUGAUAGGUAUAAGUGUUUGCAAGAGAUUAUACGUUUAAUGGCUAUGCACCAUAUCAUGUUUAUAGGGUGACAUUUUGCUUGUAAAUUAUUAGGAUGGGAGGUUCAGGUCCAAGCGUGAUGCAAGAAAAGGAGCUAUGGUUAUAUUAUUCUGUUAGAGGUGCUAUCAGCAACACCUUCAACCAUUUAUUAUUAAUAUUCUGCUACCCCAAAACUGUGGAAACCAAAUUUUUUUCUUUUAAUCUCCUGUCUAAAAGUAAGAACCUAAACCAUGUCACGUUAGUGAAUCUGCCAUUGCUUUAAUUAUUUUUGGCCGAAUCCCCGAAAGGCCAAUUUAAUUCUUUACAUGAUGCGUGCGCAAUGUCUUGUGCAGGUGCGUUAAAGGGAAAAGGAAGGGGUGGUGCUGGUCGAGGUGUGCGUGCAGUUGAUUUUGUUCUGGUAUAGGAUAUACGCCAUAAUCCAAUAACACUUCAUCUCAAAGUGUCUCAAGUCGAUCUGCUGCUGUUAAUUCAUGGGAGACAUGAAUGAUGACACAAUUCAAGAGUAAUCUUGCUGCUGCAUCAUCUAUCACUCCAAAUGAAGGCUUCAACAACAAUGCAAGCACAUAUGCCCACAAGAGACCAGCAUUAAUUGGAUUUUUAUCUAGUGGUUCAAUUAGUGGAAAUGUUAAAAGAUCUCAGAUAACCAGCUUAACUGGAUUUAUAUCGGGGGUUCAAUUGGUGGAGAAAUGAGUGGAACUCAGACAACCAGCUCCUUCAGUCUUGUUCCUUUUAUUUGUGCAAAAUUUGAGAGAACAAUUUAAAGACUGUGAAAACUAAUCUAUAGGAAGCAAAAUUUAGAAAAGAAAACCAUUUAGUACAAAUAAUAUCGUGCAGAUUUAGAAGUUUGUGGGUUCUGUGAGUAGAUUUCAUUUUUCAGUAUACAUACUACAAGAAAACUGGCAAUAGAUGACAACCACUUUAUGACAGAAAUGAUUUUAUCAUAUAAUAGUGAUGGAUGUGUGAUAGAAUUAAGGUCUAUCAAAUGAUUAAUGAUGUACUUGUGAUAGAAUCGUUGUAUAUCAAUCAUUUAUGAUACGUGUAUGAUCGAAAUUUAUUCAGUCACACGCAUUAUGAUAGAAAUCUAAUGUUGACCGUGUUUGACUAAAAUUAAAAAUAUUAUUUUAAUUUUUGAAAAAGUUAAAUGCAUCGUUUAACCUGUGAAAUGAUUUGUGAAAAAUAAAUAAAAAACAAAACGAUGUGUUUAACCAAAAUGUGAGCAAAAAAAACCUAAGUUUAAACACUACAUAUUGAAGUCAUCACCCCUCUCACUUUCGCGUGCAAAGGCCAUUGAAACCCAAGGCGCAAUCAUCGUCACUUUCACUCCACAAUCUGCUCUGAAACCCUAACCACAAUCACCGUUACACCCUCAAUCAAUCAGCAUACAUUCACCAUAGUCAUCUUUACUCUCAUUCGGACAAAGAGCAGUCAAACCCUUGGAACAUUAUCGUUAUUGUUACUCUCACAAUCAAGGCUUAAAGCCUAGCCAAACUCAUCAUGUCACUGUCAAUCAAUAACCUCACUAGCACCACUCAAACCCUAGACAUUUAUAUAUGUAAUGUUAAUAUUUGAUCUUAAUUUAUUAGUGUUAUCAUGAUUAAUGAAAUUAUAACACAACUUUAUUAUUGAUAUUAUUAAUAGCUAUCAUUGUUAGCCAUUACUAUCAUUAUUAUUAUUAGAGUUAGGAGUUGCUAGAGUCAAAAUAUAAUUUUGUAACCACUACACCCUCUAGAAUUCGGAUUAUAGCCAAACAGAAAGGACAGUGUUAGCCAUUAUUAAUUUGAUUAAAUUAAACCCAAUUAUGAUACUUAUUAUCAAUUUUAUGAAUUAUUUUAUCAGAAUGUGUGUAAUUGUGUAUGGUGUGGCCCAUAUAUAAGAUUAUUUUCCUAUUAUAAUUAUUAUUUUUUUAAUAAGACAAUGAUUUUGUUAGUUAUCAUAACAAUUCUCAGUAACCAAAUUCUAUUACGUAACUAGCAAUAUAAUAUUGAUAAUUAUAAAUUCACAAUAACUGAAUUUGAGUAAUAUCCAUAUUAAAGAAAAAAGAACAUUGAAUAAUAUUUUUUUUUUCAUAUUUUACAAUCAUAUAAUCUAGACAUGAUAAUUAUAUUUUUAGAUUUAUACCAAAUUAAUUUGUGUAAUAACGCGCAACGGAGGUGGUUACAUGAAAUAUAUAUACUAAUUGAUGUGCAAUUCAUUCAUAGGCAUUAUAAAGUUCAUUCACUAUUAAUACAUAAUAAAUCAAUUGUCAUUGAAAUGUAACUGUUUAAAAAUUAGUAUUAUGAACAGAACUUUAUUGUUAAUAAUGAAAUAAAAUAAAAUAAAAUGACUCUUUUUUUCUUGGGAUAAGGAGUCAUUUUUUUUUGUUUAAAUCACCCGGUUUCUGGCUACCGCAUUGAGCCCCGACUAAUCCGGAUUCGGAGUGUAGUCACAUUUAAGGCUCCUUACCCCUCCCAAAUGGUGUGUUUAGUGGUGAUCAAACCCGAUAGCUCUUCCCACUUACCCAACCUGUGCCACCAACUGAACCACAACCGUUUGGUUAAGGAGUCAACCGUUUGGUUAAGGAGUCAUUUUUUAUUUAGGCAGCGAAACUACCACCAUAAUGAAAUAUUUUUCAAACCUAUUUUUUUUACUAAAAAUAUAAAUACUUCGUAUUUUUCUACUUCAAAAACCCUAGCCACUCUAUUGAUACAUCCCUCAGACUGACACAUACAAUACGAUCACCAACCACGAGAGCAGCCACCGCCGGAUGUCGUUGUUACCAAUACCCAAUACCCAAUACCCAGUUCAGGUAAUCAUUCAAAAAAAUUUCAUUUUGUUGUUCACUAUCAACUAAUUCAGCUGAAAUCCUACACCUACCAGAAGGCCUUCAAUUUGUACCCAUUAAUAUGAAGAAAAGUUUUGAUAUCAUUGCCAUGUUUAUGAUCAUUCUGGUGACUUGUACAUCUCAAGUAUCAUUUGCUUAAAUAAUACGUACCUAUGUUUAGUUGAAAAUGCUUGUCUAUGAUGACUCUUCAGGAGAAUCGAAUGAUCUUAACAAAGCUGGGUUUAUAAUUCUUGUCGAAUGGUAUCCAGUAUAAGUAAAUGAUGUAUAACUAUUUGUUUGGUGUACAAUUAUUUGUUAUGAAUAAUGAUGUACACAUAUACAAUAUACGACUGCUUCUUUACAUUUCUUCACAGAUGCAUUACUGAACAACCAAAUUAACAGCCGCUGUCACUACAUUAACACACUCGCUUAAGUUUUUUCAGAGAAGGUAUUUUCCGAUGCUGACUCCAUAUUUCUACUGUCUGUGAUAUUGAAUGACUUUUCAUGGGGUCUGUUAAUUUUUAAUUUAAUUUUCCAUCCGUUGGAUGCGAAUCUGCUGUACCGUACAUCCGCCUUGGCCGUACAGCAGUUUUAAUAUGUUGAUGAAACAGCUUUUUUUUUUUGGCACUAAUCAAAUAGGUUAAGUAGUAGUAUUAUUAUUACACAACUCAUUCCAAUAUGAUGUUCAGUCCACUAUUAACAUAGACAUAUUCCUCGUAAAAAUUUCGUAGAAAAAUUAUUCCUAAAGAUAGCCGAUUUCAUGAGUCACAAUAAUUAUUGCUUUUCAACUCUGUUUUUUGGGUCGGCAUCAUUUUCCUUGCUCUGCUCCUCUCUUGACUCCUCAGCUUGCUUCCUUUCUUCCUCAGCUUGCUUCCUUUCUGCUUCUUCCUUCCCUUCCUUGAGAGCUUGAAUCAAGCUUGAAAGGCAUUUCUCUACAUUGUCAGAUGGAGAUUUAGGCAUCAGAUUCUCAGCAACAUCGGCAGGUGUGAUCUUGGUAUCUUCCAUCAGCUUUUGAAUUGUUUCAAACAAUGUAUGAGUUUCCACAUUCAGAUAAUUCUUCGCAAGCACUUUGAAUCCCUGGAAUGUGCAGUAAGAGAGCUCUAUAUGUUUAUCCAUCCUGCCUCUUCUAAUCAAAGCUGGAUCAAGCUUCUCCACAUAAUUGGUGGUGAAAACAAUCAGCCUCUCCCCUCCACAAGCCGACCAUAGUCCAUCAAUAAAAUUCAGUAACCCUGAUAAAGUAACUUUGCUGCUGCCCUCUUCCUUUGGUUCCUUGCGCGAAAUCUCCUUAUCCAGCUUUUCUUUCUCAUCAUCCGACGACUUCUCAGCUUUCUUCUUCCUCUGACCUGUUAGUUCAAGCGAACAAUCUAUAUCUUCAAUCACAAUAAUUGACUUACUAGUCGUCUCAAUCAAAAGCUUCCUGAGCUCUGUAUUGUCCUUAACAGCUGUGAGCUCAAGAUCAUAAACAUCAUAAUUCAACAAAUUUGCCAUGGCAGCAAUCAUAGUAGACUUGCCAGUUCCUGGAGGACCAUAAAGAAGAUACCCUCUUUUCCAAGCCUUCCCAAUCCUUGCAUAAAAAUCUCUACUUUUGCUGAAAGUAACAAGAUCUUCAAUAAUCUCCAGCUUCUUCUCUGGCUCCAACGCCAUUGUCUCAAACGUUGCAGGAUGCUCAAACACAAUGUGACUCCACAUAGUUUGCUUGUAACUUGGCCACUUGUAACCAGGACUGUUUGUGUAAAGCUUCCUCUGCCGAUUUCUCACUCUGAUUUCUUUCCCUUCCUUCACUACAUGCUGCAAAUAAGACUCAGUUAUGAUCUCCCUAUACCGCUUAUGAAAUGUGAGCCUGUAGUAUCUCUUCUCCUGCUCAGGAUAAUAUGACAUGCCCCUCGUUGUUGACACGACUUUGCUUGAAACCCACCAAACUUUUACCCCGCGGAACUCGUCAGUAACUCUCUCAUACUCAUCCAUGCUAAGCACCAAGUUGCUGCUGUCUUUGCCCAUCUCAGCCUUGAGUCUUUUAGCACUCUUGGAUGAGUUGACGCUAAGAUAAGCCUCAACAGCAGCAUAAGCCUCGCUGCGCUUGAGGCGAUCACCCGUGAAUUCAUGGAUUGAAAUCUUGAUGUAAGGAUAAAAGAACCCCAUGAUUCUGUGCGUAUACUUUUCAAAGUGGCGGCGAACUUCAUAUGGGCAAUACUGGCGAAUGAUAGCCCACACAAACAUGAAACUUGCUAUUGUCGAACCCAUUGCUGCCAACAUCUCAGUCACUGUCGCUGGCACCAUCUUUCUUUGUUUUACAGUUGCUUUUACUCAGGCCAGGCCAAGCUAAGCGAAAAGAGUAUUGUAUUUGUGAUAAAGCUUUGUGAAUUGUGCUUCUUUUAUUCUGUUUGUUAGGCCUUCGAAUCAUAACAUUGUUAGUCCCUUAAAUAAAGUGAAGAAAGAGAAAACAGAGUAGGUAAGAGUAGAGAAUUGAGUCAUUACUAAACACCGCUUUUUAUGGACACAAGUGAUAUACGGGGAAAUUACCAUUUUCUCACUAUAAAUGUUUAAAAGGCUAAAAAUAUUAUAAAACUUUUAAAUCUAUCAAUUUUUUUAAUAUUGAUUACGCAUCAAAUUACUGUACAGCGGACCAUUACAUUGAUAUUUACAAUUAGAUAUAUGAUUGAGAUUUAUAUUAUUAAAUUAAAUUUUAUAAAGUCAAUUUUUUUAAUAUUGAUUACGCAUCAUAUUAUUGUACAGCAGACCAUUACACUGAUAUUUACAAUUAGAUAUAUAACUGAUAUUUAUAUUAUUAAAUUAAAUUUUAUAAAAUACAUGUCCAGAAAAAUAACUCUCACACACGAGCGAUGUCUCUACUCCACUAGCAUUUCACAAAGAAGAAAGAUUUUUAAAUUAACUUCACACAAUUAUGCAUAAUUAAGUAUAAAGUCGGGUCGGUCUUAGACAUCACUUGAUAAAUUUGGAAUCUGAAUUUUAUUAAAAAAUAUUUAUUAUUUUAAAUAUUUAUAUUUAUUUGACUCAUUUAUUACACAUAUAUAAAAUUUAAAACACUUAAAGUUUAUAUUUUCAUGUCAAAUUUUAUUGAAAUAAAUUUAAAACUUAUAAAAUUACCAAAAAAAUAUACACAUAUAAUAUUAAAAAAUAUAAAAUUUGGGUACCCGAAUUAAAAUUUGGCUCGAUGUCGAGCUUAAAAAACCCAGCCCAGACAUUUAAAAAUUACGUCUGGGCUGGAUCCGGGCAUUGCGAUACCCAAACUCGGCCCGAAGUUUUGCCAAUCAUGAGAAUUCGAACUACUGUUCUCACAAUCAUACUUAACUGUGGAGAUAAUUGUUCACCACUCAGCCAAAACCAAAAUCAAUCAUUUUUUAAACCAUACAUAAAAUUUUUUAAAAAGUAUUAUUGUUACAGCUUCCCCAUAAAUCUGUCAGAGAAUCUAUGUCAAAAGAUUAUUUUACGCUACGAAUUUAAUUUAACAUUAUGAUGCAAGGUAUUCUUAAAUAAUGAAUUAAAUAAGGCAAAUAGUGUGAAUUUUGUUUCGAAUGUCUGAACAAAAGUGAUGCAAACAUUUUGCGAAAUGUGCAUCAAGGAUCUGUUUAAAUUCUAUUAUUUGAUUAUGAAUGGAAUAGAAUUCAGUUGGUGCGUCUACGUGGACCGCGAUAGAAAAAGACAAAUGAUGCAGUCGGCGAGUCCACACCAUGUGCUGUAAAUAAAAACAAGUCACAUUUUGAUCCGCUUAAUGACAAAGAAAGAAGGCAAAGUUAAGUGAAAAGUGGGACUUGGUUGACGUUGACGCUGAUUUUCAAAAUAAAGUGAACGAAUCUUGGAGGGGAUUGAUCUAAUCAUCUAUGCUUUGAUCUUGCUUGCUCAGAAAUUUCCAAGUCAUUCCCCAUCAAAUUUGUGGGGUUGAAAAGAUUGGGGAUUUGCUUGGGAAGAAUCACUCCCAAGAGACUGCACUCUGCACUCGUCUUUCAGCCUGCUGUCUAUCUGCAUGUAGCAUCAUCGGGGACGAAAGUAGGAAACUUCUGGGAAAUUUUUGAAACGUUUUGCAAUGAUAAUGAAAGCUGUGAAGUCAUCUCAUGACAAUAAGCAUGACGACACUCACUGCUUCGAACCUUAUUAUCAAAGUCAACAAAUGGGUGUGUAUGGGAGCUGGCUAAAGCUGGAACUGUAAGUUACAGAAUCCGUAACUUGCCAGCUCCCCGUUUCUAAUCUAUUAUUCAACAACUAUAAUAAAUUUAUAACACGUCCUUUCAAGAUUUGUAAAGCCGUAGCCACUAGCCAGCCAUAUCAUUUGUUCAACCUUAAAUCAUUGGAGCCUGUCGAGUGUCGAAAAUUCUAGAAAAUAAGAACGCAAAUAUCAAGGAGAAUAAUGGUUUUGUUCUGAUGUUUUUGUUUUUAAAUUUUUAGUAGAAUGAGAUACGUAUAACCAAAAAAACUUGGAGAUUGUUUGGACUCUGGCGAGUGGUGACCCGACCCAGAAAGUAGGUGUCAGCAAAUAUGUGGCCACUCAGUGUAAAGCAUUGUUAUUAUCAUUAUUAUUAAAGGACACCAGUAGUGGAAUAGACGAGUUAGUCAUGUUUUGGACUUCACUUUUUUGAUCAAUGGUUGAAAGGAGACAACCGCUCGAGUCAAAUCAACUCACGUGGGUUAGUCCUAUGAGCAUAAACUUUGGGGCAAGUACAAGUAACAUUGCAAAAAUUAUUGUUCUUUUUUCUUUUGUUUUGGAUUGUUUAUUUUUUUGGUACGGAGACAAAUAUUGCUAUUAUUAUUAUUCACCAAAACAAUAAUACCCCGCGUGACAAUGAUAUUACUCUUAUGACACUAAACUUGGGUAUUCAUUCAUUUGUCAUCUUUACCAUUUGCGCAAUAUGCCAAGUUUUAUAAUAAAUAAUUAUAAACUUGUAAAGAUCGCCCGCCGUCCAUUCAUGAAUAUUAUUUAAUGCACGCAGCCUAAAUGGAUUAGGCACUCACUCUUAAUAUCUUUUUGUUUUUGGAACAUGCACUUGUAAUACAUGGAUUCCUCCUCAUUCCUCAACCAAAAAGGCAAAUAAAGUAAGUUGGUAGUGUGACACAUGUUUUCAUUUAUUAAUUAUUUAAGGUCUUGGUGGUUGGUAGUAAAGAACAAAAACUUAUUAUCAAAAGUGCAGGUUUUAUAAUAGAUAAGGAUCCGUUUAAUAUUAGUUGAAAUAAUUUAAAUCUGUCUAAGCUGAAAAUAGUGUAUAUCAUUCUAAAGAAUGGAUAAGGUUGAUUUAGAUUAGUUAGAUGUUUUUUGAAUUAGCUUCUUAGGUGAGUUAGUUAGCCAAGGAAAGCUAAACGACUCCAGUUCAGUUGUGCGGAUGGUGUGGAGCUCCUUCAAAGCAACUGAGACAAAGGUAGUUUUUGAACAGCUGUGGUUGUUCCAGUGCAUAAACUAAGCUGUUGUUAGUGCUAAUUGCUGUGAUGAAGUGAAAGCCUAUUGUAUUCACAUGAGCUUUUAGAAAAAGAAAGGUGCAUUGAGCUCUACGAAGAACGCGGCAUCGGCGUUCAUGGAUACGCUACGUUCGAUCAUAACCAUCACCUUUUGCAUUUUCAGAGCUUUAGAUUCUUGAUAUCUUCCUCAUUGGCAAACCAGUCUGGUAUUAUCCGUGCCAAAUGAGGGAAAAGAUCUUUGUAGACAUUCUUGAUGGUCCCUUCUGCUACUCUCGUAACAAUGGAGAUCUCUGCAAAAACAGGGGCAUGAAUGGCAUCUGAGUAAGCAUAAUUUCUAAAAGAAUUGAUAGCUUUCUAACCUUUGAGAGGCUUUGUGUCAUUUGAUAGCUGAGUUAUGAUGUAAAUAACAGCUGCCGCCACUGAGAUCGGGCUUCUCCUGUGAAAGCAAGCAAGAAUUUUGUUUUACCCAAAGCCAAUGACACCAUCUACAUACACUAUUCAUUUAUGAUUAAUUUUCUAAUGGAGUUGUUAAAAAAUUUCACAGAGAGAGAGGGAGAGAGAGAUAAAUAAACAAAUAAAUAAAACAGCUUCACAGGUUAUCUGAUGCUUCCUUUCAUUUGACAAAAAGGCAAAUGUUCAUUAACAGCUUCUAUGUCUAUGAUCCAAAGCCAUGUGAAGAUCUACUGAAAUGAAGUUAGACAAACUCAAUCAAACAAGAGAAGACCACAUGAAAUAAACUCAUUUCUCUCCCCCACCACGACUCCUUUCUUUCUUUCUUAUAUUUUUCUUCUUCAAAGAUAAUUAUGUGUUCAUAGGGUUCAACUAAUAUAUUCUUAGUAUCCAUAACACCGAAAUGUAUAAAUGCAUCUCAUAAAAGCCCAAACUAUAAGUUGAAUGUGAGUUUCUACCAAGAAAAGUGAAAAGAAAACCAGAAUUAACCUUAUGUCGAGAUCUUCAGAUUUCUGAACAGCCUCUUGAGCAGCCUUAACAGCUUGAUUCGUCAUUCCAAGAUUGGAACAAAAACGUCUCUAUAGAUUGAAGAUAAAAUUUAUGUAAAUGGAUGCAUUGGAUUAGACAAAUAAGGCCACAAGGAACAAAAAAUCAUACACGAAGAAAAAUCCAAUACGAACAGAAAGAAAAAAUUUUAAAAAAUAUUCAACAAAAAUAUCACCAGAUAGUCUGAAGCAUGUAUAGUUCCCAUUUCCACAGAUUGACCCAUUUCUGCUUCUAGGUGUUUCACGAUGAAUUCUUUUGCCCGUCCUAUUUCUUUCUUUGUUGUCCCAUUAGCAACAGAACAAAAUUCUAGUUGAAAUCUAUGUAGUUAGCAUAUGAAACCUUACAAUGCAAAGAGGAAGAUCAAGAAAAUUUUUAGAGAAAGUUUGCUCAGUACCUUUCACAGUCCUGGGUUUGUUUUCUUGUCGGCAAGCAAUGUAGAGGCAAGCAGCCACAAUUGCUUCCUGAUUUCGUCCUCUAAGAGGUUUUUGAUCUUCUACCUUCUUAUAGAUUUCAUUAGCUCGAUCCUUAAAGUCAUAAGUAGAAACAGUUAGCAGAUGAUAAAAGCUCUAAAACAAAAAGAUUGGACCAAACCGUUUGAAAGUAGAAACCAGCAUAGCAUGUUCGAGAAAGGAAAGAUAAAACUAAAAUAUGAUAGCAUAUAUAAAUCCCAAAUAGAAGCAUAAAUACUAAAAUAUCAGACAAAAUAAUUCUAAAAAGAUAUAUGCUAGCCAAAUUGUGGUUUAAUCAAUUGAUAAUCAAUGAUGAAGUUCUGAAUCUUUUGUGUGAAGCUUUGUGUGUUUUGACCACACUACUUAACAUUCCACAGUUUACCCUAAGAUCACGAUUGAUUCAUCUAUGAAUGCCAUGUUUGUAUCUUUCAGUUCCUCAAGCCUAAAAUUUAUACACGUAUGAUAACAACAACCAUAAAUUGAAUGUUGGCCCGAGUGCCUUAACUGGAGUAAAUUUGACAAUACCAACAAAGCUAGUUGGCAUUGAGAAGGGUAUAGCUUAAGCAGAAGGCUAAUUAAACUCUUCCUUUAUUGAACUCUUAUCAUCCCACCUCUUUCACUCUUUCCUAACCUUCAUCUUUAUCCUACCUGAGCUCUGUCUAAGACAAAUCAAACAUCACUUUCUAACCUCCAUUGCCAGUGUUCUUUAUAAUAUUAAGUUCACUAUGAAAUUCAGGACUGCCAACCCAAUUGGGUGAACUUAAAAAUAUUCGACACGCUUUAUAUCCAAAAGUCAAAAAGUCAAUAAGCCUUAUCGAUGGCCAAUUCUUUGGUAUUAAUAUUUUACUAAAGUCAAAAAGUCAAUAAGCCUCAUCUGCUUAAUCUUUGGUUGAUCACGCUUUGAGAUUCCAAGGAGUAGUAUAAAUAGAUCCAUCACCUUCCAUCCAAUCCACCAACACAAAAAGACCUGCGGACAUUAAUUGUGUAAUUUAGAUCUUAACAGCAGCCAUCCAUGUAUUCUUCUUCAUCAGUGUCACUCUUCGGGCUGCUAUGCGGCUUGGUAGUGUUACUGAUUCUCCCUUUCUCUUCCCGUGCAAGUGACCCUGAUCCUUUACAAGACGUCUGUAUUGCGGAUUUGAAUGCCCCCAUCUCUAUCAAUGGUUUCCCCUGCAAACCAGAUUCAGAAGUAACUUCUGAUGAUUUCUUCACGGAUUUUUCUAAAAAUCCGACCACUUUUGAUGUCUUUAAGCGUGCAGUUACGCUUGGUGAUGUUUCUGGCUUUCCAGCGGUCAAUACUCAAGGAGUUUCACUCUUCCGAAUUGACCUGGAUGUCGGUGGAAUAAACCCGCCUCAUACACAUCCUCGUGGAACUGAGGCUGGCAUUGUUACUCGAGGAAAGGUGCUCGUAGGUUUAGUAACAACUAAUAAUACCUUUUUCUCAAAGGUUUUGACUCCCGGGAUGGUGUUCUUAAUUCCCAGAGCGCUGAUUCACUUCCAGCUGAAUGUUGGAAAGGGGCCGGCCACCUUUAUACCUAUUUUCAAUACUCAAAAUCCUGGCGUUUCGGACUCACUCACUACUCUUUUUGAUACAACACCCCCAAUUCCCAAUAAAGUGUUGACCAAAUCUUUCCGAGUCAGUAAUGAUGUGAUUAAUGUGAUCAGAGCAGCCCGGGCAUCAAAUUAAUUAGUAAUCGAUCUAGCGAGGUAGCAUCCUCGAUGCUUGAUCGGUACCCUUUAUAUUGUCUCAAAGUAAUUAAUAAGAUUUAUUUUAUGCAAUUGUUAUUCUGCUGUACCGUACAUCCGCCUUGGCCGUACAGCAGAACUUAAUUAAUUAAGUUAAUUAGAGGUGUUUAUAACAUUCUCGACACCUGAUGAUACCCAUUAUAAUGUCUCAGAACUAAUGAAUAAGAUUUAUUUUAUGUAAUAAUUGUUGAAUAAAGAAAAGAUGGUGGCGAUUUGCAUGCUAAAUGUACCUCGAAUUCCAUAUUAUGAUAAAGUUUUUUUUUUCCCCCUAAAUUUCUUUUUGUUCAAAUCAUAUGUUGAAUCAUGAACGUGUAAGUUAGUAUUAGGAUAAUUUAAUUGAACUAAAUAAAAUACAUGUUACUCUUGACACCAUCUAGCACAAUUAUUCAAAAUCCUAUUUGUUUUCAACCAAAAAACUUUUCUCCUCAACAUAACCCAUCUAGUAUAGUUUUCUGGUCCAGAAUCUUAAAGUGCAGGAAAAGUCCGGAAUAACUUUAAAACUGCAGGGUUUUAAAGGCUUACAACUUGAAACACUUAAACCGCACAGUUUAUCCGUUUUUCCGGACAUUCUCGCACUUUAAAAUUCUAAAUUGGAACAUAAAUAAAUGUUUCAAUUCAGGAUCUUAAAGUGCGGGAAAAACCACAUGGUUUUAAAGGCUUAAAAUUGUAGGCCUUUAAAACUAUGCGGUUUUAAAACUUUCCCGCACUUUAAAAUUAUGAACUAGAAAACUACUAUAUCUAUAUAAUAUCAUAUAUCAUAUAAUAUCAUAUCAUAUAAAUAUUAAUAGGAAAAUUAUUUGGGAGGCAGCAAGAUGCAGAAUUACAUGUAACCACUAAUGAUUAAAUCCAAAUUACCUCUUAUUUGUAACUUCUAUCAAUAAACCACUUUUUGUUGAAUUUGAAUAAAAGAUGUUAAAAAAUCUUUAUUAAAAUAUCCAUUUUCCCUUGAUAUUGUUUAAAAAUGUUAAAAAAAAAAAAUUAUUACCCAUUGAAGCAAGUUUGCAACUGCGAAAAUUAAAAACAGCAGUUGCUUAUGCCAAAAAAUAAAAAAUCAGAAAAGAAAAGGCAUGCUCCCGGUUAGGUAGAGAUUUUUGUUGUGACAAUUCUUUAUUAAAUGAUUAACUCAAAACUGAUUGGCUCUUGUCAUACAAUUAUUCUACUAGUUUCAGCAUACGAGAAGUAUUAGAUCUUAUUGCUUCUCUAUUAAUUAAUACUUGGUGCGUCAGGUAAUGGAAUGAAAGAAAUUAAAUUUUUUUUUUUGGCUGAAGCUUCCAAUUAUCGGAGAUGGCUAGCCGAACAAUAACCUUCGGCUCUAGGAAUGAGUUGGAACCAUCCGUAAGACACACAAGAUGAGAUACGUUGCCAAAACCCAUAUUUUCCUGAAGAUAGCCUUCAAUUAAUGGAUUGAAUAAUAAUCUAUCAUCAUGAAUUUUAAUAACUCUGGUGAUAAAAUCUCAAUAAGCUACUAGCUAGCUGAAAAUGGGUUCAAAAUUCCACGACCUUGAAAUUACAAGGUACUGAAACCUCAUUGAAGAUUUCAGAGUUUGUUGUAAACUGUACUUUCAAUGCAAAGAUCAGGGCAUUGGAAGGCAAGUGUUUCUAAUCUAUCCUAUUAUUGUGGACAGGGUCUACUUCUAGCGUAAGAAACGGUCUCCCUAGAACUGGGAUAGAGUCUCAUAAGUAUGUGUACCUUAAUUUAAAUAUAUAUAUAUAUAUAUAUUUUACGGAUGUAAGUCUAGAGAAAUAAGAAUAGACGACUCUUCAAUUAACGAAAUUAAAAGAUUUUGUCAUUUAGAUUUCAUGGACCAAAAAUCAAAUCAAAAUUUGAGAAUAUUAUGCAGCUUAUUGAUUUCUCACUCGGCUGUAAUGCUAGGACUGAAUGAGGAAUCUUAUUUAUCCAGUCAUAAAUGUUCCGUGAGAAUUGAUGAAUUGGAUAAUUAAUCAUCAUUAACAAACUAGUUCCCUCAUCCCUGAGAAUCUAUGGAUUGGAUAAUUAAUCGUCAUCAACAAGCUGGCUACUAGGUAAAGGUUUACGGAUUCAUUUUUCGUUGACUUUGAAAUCACUAAGUAUAUAAUAGGAGAAUAGACUACUUCAACUCUUUUUAAUAUGUUGAUUUGUUUGUUUCAAAUAUCAACUCCAAGAAAUUACUUAAACAAGAAGAAACGGCUCAUUAUCUUGACGUAGUACUUCUGUAAAGUGUAUUUAAUUAAUUUUCAACCUGUAGCUACAUAUCAAAGCUGGAGUUUAUAUCCCAGAAUCAGAUAGCCAAAAGCAACAAGAAAUAACUUCAUACUCUCGCUUGACCAAGUACAUACUUCUACCACGUCUUCAAUUUCAAUCUUUUUUUUUUCCGUCGCCAUAUCAAAUUAAAAGCAGCUUAGAUCUUUGUUAACACACGCUUUACAAAGCCAAAAAAGCCAACAAUUAAAUAAUCUCAUUAUUCUGAUUCUGAUCCUACAAUUUGCUAUUAAAAACUUUUUUUUCAAUCAAACUAUAUGUUGAAUGUAUUUAGUAUUAUGAACAAUUUAAUUGAAAAAUCUAGCACGCUGCUUCAAUAUCAUAUUGCAUCUUAGUCUAAAAAUUAUCGUCCUCAAUAUCAUAUCUGAUGCAUUAUUUUUAUUAAGUUUUGUUUGAUAGUUAUAGUUUUUUUCUACAGCAGCAGUAGCUUAAAAAGUACAUCACCUCAAUCCCAAAUGAACCUUAGUAUCAUAGUUGUGCAGCUGUAGCUUCGGUUAUAGUACUUGUGUUUGGUUUGAAGAAAUGAAAGAAAAUAAGAUGAUAGAAAAGGAGGAGAGGGUAAAUAAAUAAGGAGAAAAAAAGAUGAAUUUUGUGUCAAAAUAAACAAUAAAAUUGAGAUUGAUUUUUUUUUUUAACCUCAUUUCCUCUUGAGCAUAUAUGUUGGACUUAUAAAUUUAUGUUUGGAUGUAAAUUGUUUGAUAAAUUCCUAUUGUUGUGGUUUGGAAAUUAGGUUAAUUUGAUUUAACAUUUAUAUAAUAAACCACUUACAGUAUCUUUAUUAUAUUUUUAUCAAAACUUUCAUUUAAAAGUCAUAUUUAUUAUAUACUAAUAACUUUUAUUUCAUGAUGAUAGAUGCAGCACUUCAAAACCAAAAUAAGACCAUAUAUUUUUAUAACUUCUCUUAUCAGAAUAUGAAUGUUGCUUGCACGCAUUAACAAUUCCACUAGUUGCCGGUUCAUAAUUAUCACGUCAACUCUUAAAAAAAGGGCGCACUGCCGGUUCAUAAUUAUCUGCACAAAGUACAUUAUUCUAGCAUUAAAUUUUAAAUAUCUUUCAGUGCCUUUAAAAAUUAAACAUUCAAACUACGUAGUUAUAUUGUCAGAAAGCCAAAACAAUGAGACGUUCUUUUUGGUUCAUUAUCUUUCCCGGUUGCAAAGGCCAGGUUACGUAACAAUUUAAAUAAUCUGUACGCGCUAUCCGAAUUCAGAAAGUCAACAAACCUCAUCGAUCUGCCAAUUCUUUGGCAUUAAUAUUUUACUUAAUUCAAAGUAAUGUUAAUCACGCUUUCAGGCUCCAAGGAUUAAUAUAAAUAGAUCCAUCAUCUUCCUUUAAAUCAACAACUAAAGACUACUUGCAGCCAUUAAUUGUGUAAAUUUAGAUUUUAAUCACAACCAUGAUUUCUUCUUCAUCAACGUCACUCAUUGGGCUGCUAUGCUGCCUGAUAGUGUUAUUGAUUCUCCCUUUCCCUUCCCAUGCAAGUGACCCUGAUCCUUUACAAGACAUCUGUGUUGCGGAUUUGAAUGCUUCCGGCUCUAUUAAUGGUUUCCCCUGCAAACCUGAGUCAGAAGUAACUUCUGAUGAUUUCUUCACGGAUUUUUCCAAAGAAGCAGCUACUUUUGAUGUCUUUAAACGUGGAGCUACACUCGGUGAUGUUUUUGGCUUUCCAGUGGUCAAUACUCAAGGAGUUUCACUCUUCCGAAUUGACUUGGGUGUCGGUGGAAUAAACCCGCCUCAUACACACCCUCGUGGAACCGAGGCUGGUAUUGUUACUAGAGGAAAGGUGCUCGUAGGUUUAGUAACAACUAAUAAUACCUUUUUCUCAAAGGUUUUGACUCCCGGGAUGGUGUUCUUAAUUCCCAGAGCGCUGAUUCACUUCCAGCUGAAUGUUGGAAAGGGGCCGGCCACCUUUAUACCUAUUUUCAAUACUCAAAAUCCUGGCGUUUCGGACUCACUCACUACUCUUUUUGAUACAACACCCCCAAUUCCCAAUAAAGUGUUGACCAAAUCUUUCCGAGUCAGUAAUGAUGUGAUUAAUGUGAUCAGAGCAGCCCGGGCAUCAAAUUAAUUAGUAAUCGAUCUAGCGAGGUAGCAUCCUCGAUGCUUGAUCGGUACCCUUUAUAUUGUCUCAAAGUAAUUAAUAAGAUUUAUUUUAUGCAAUUGUUAUUGAAUAAAAGCCGAGACAACCAAAUAAUUGAUUAAUAAAGUUUAUAAAUUUUUAAAUUUCUUUACUUUUUCAUGUAUUGUGUGAAUAAAGUUUGAAAAUUGCGUAUACAUUUAAAUAUAGAUAAGAUCAAAAUACACCUCUGAGUUGUUUGAUUCUCAUAAAAUGCAGAAAUGUAAAAAAUUGAUAAUUAAGAGAAAUUAAGUUUAUAAAUAAUGAAACUUUAUUUUUUAAAAAAAAUCUGAAUGAAUAACAAUAGUGUUUUUGGACAUUUUUAUAGUAACUCUAAAUAUCACGAAUUUAUCAAAAUAAACAAAUUAGAAAAAAAAAAGAUAGGAAUCUUGAAUGUAGUUGAAAAAACUAGAAAAUAAUUAAAAAUCACAAAACGAACAAAAAAGAAACUGAAUUUUUUGCUUACCACGGAGUAAAAUGGUGUAAGCAUUCUCGAUUUGGUACGUCUCGUCGUAAGUUUCAGAAUGCUAUAUUAUACAUCCAAGACUAGCGCACGUAACUCAAGAUGCUAUAUUAUACAUCCAAGACUAGCGCACGUAACUCAAUUUAUUUAUAACUAGUGGAAAGUACCCUGCUAGUUCCACACAACUAUUUUAAAUUAUGAACACCAAAAGAUACUGGUCCUGCGAACCAUGCUACAUCAAGUACCAUUUCUAAUUGGAAUGCUACGCAUAUUGGAGAAAGUGUUCAAAAGUUUGAGUUUUGCAACAAUACGGGAAGCAUUACAGAUACGCUCAAGAAUGUUUUUACAAUCUCAAAAGUCUCCUGGUUGAUAUGAUGUCCAUUUCUUUUGUUGAUGUGGAUGCUAACCGAGAGACUGUCAGAGUUUUUUCAAAUACAAUUGUCCAUUGCUUAGAAGAUUUAAGUGCGAGGAGAUCUGACUUAAACAUCAAUCCGAUUGACGUACCUAGAGAUUGAUAGUUGCAAUUCAAUUGAAGAAAUUGAAAUUUCUGCCCAAAAAUCUUUUGUCACAUAACUAUCGUGGAUUGGAAAUCAAGUUCAGGAUUGACAAUGCUCCCUUGCUUUUUGAUGUAUCCCCUGGUAGGACAGUUGAUGGUCAGUUGAGAAAUCUUAUUAAUCCUUUCAGAAACUUUCUCCCACAGCUCGAGAAUCUGUAAUUAAACUUAACGGAGCCGGUUUGUAAUUUAAUAUUUUAAGCCAAUUGUCACAUUCAUAAGUACCAAGUGAAUUGCAACAAUUUAUGGAAAUGGGUGGGAAGCGUUAUAAUUUGCUCAAGAAUGUUUAACAAUCUUUAAAGUCCCCUGGUUUAUCUAACAACAUCAAGUCUUUGAAGUCUAUUUCUUUUGUCGAUGUGGAUGAUAACAGAUAGGUAGCUAGGUAACUUUAAAACUAAUAACAGAAAGAAAAAUUGAAUCUGAAGUGGAAAAUAGUCCUUCUCAGCUUGUCUGCUCCACAGAUAAUAAGCAGCAUAAAUCCACUGUGGAUGCACCAAAAACUUGUUGUGUUGCUCCGCCAACCGACGACCUUUUAUUCCUGGCCUUGAUGAGACGGAGACCACUUGUGCCACCGACAAGUUGUACACAUCCGUACAUGCAGCACCCAACUCGCCAGCCCUCCAUUUGAGUAAUGGAAAUUCAAAUUCCUUAUCAUCAACAUCCCUGCUAAAGAACAAUGUGCAACUUGCAAGAAUCUGCCUCCGAAUUUUCCCCAAGAAACACCUAACAUCUCCGCAAACCGGAUUCUCAAAAAACAACCCAUGAACUGUUUUCAGAACUCGAAGAACAUUCACAAGUGCCCCAUUCAACUCGUUCUCAUCAGUGUUCCUCUCAGAAAAGGAUUUCUGAAGAAUAUUAUUCUUCUUAUUUCUUCUCUCUUUAAAAUAAUUAUAGCUCCCCACCAACAUGAGAUGCUCUUUAUGAUCCUUCCAAACCUUCUCCGUGUCAUCAACGAUGACGACACCCCAUUCUUGUCCCAGAACCAAAUCACCGCUCUUCUUUCCCUUUUCUUUAAAAUCUCCGCGUGUUAUCAAUCUUGACCUGAUGUGGUACUCACACUUAAGAUCAAGCAAUUUAGCCAUCAUCACUGCGUAGGAUCGAAUCCCCGUGGUACAUAAAUAAAUUUCAUACAUCUUGCUCGCUUCUUUGAGAAAUUUUCGGAUGUAAGGCCUUAACUUGACCAAAAACAACUCACCAGCCAUCUUAAACAGGUCACCGUCUGAUGAAGAACUCCCUAGUUUCAUCAAAUAUUCACGAUCUUUGGAAGCUAAAAUGUCGAUGUCUACUGCAUGCAGCAAGGUAUGAUCUAAGUCCAGCACUAAGUGGAGUUUCUUCUGCCGAUACACCAUCUCCGAGUUCAUUUUUUUCCAAAGAGUAACUUUGUCUCUGCUAAUUAAGCUUUAAACCCUCGACUAAGAAGUUAAAUGAUAAGCCAUAUCCCUUUGCUAUUGUUCGUGCACAAGAUAAGCACACUCCAUGGUAAACUACGGGAUGUGAACGAGGACUGAAUAUGCAUACUGAGAUUAAUUUGGUAAGUGCAAUAGAAUUUAUGAAUAAAGUUUAUUAUGUAGCGCGCGCGCGCGCGCACAUACAUAUAUAUAUAUAUAUAUAUAAAACUACUUUUCCUUUAAAGGUUAGGAUUCCCUAUUCCAUCUCAUAUCCACUUUUCCUUUAAAUGUUAGGAUUCCUAUUUCAUUAGCUAUUGUUUUGCAAAUAACUACUCGUUUAUUAUGUAUGGGUAGGCCUGGAACACAUACAACGCAUUUUAAUUUUUUAUUCUAAAAUUGAACCAUCAUUGGCUUACAAUAUGAGCAAUCCAACGGUGGACAGAUUUUACGCUUAUAACCGGUUACCGAACCACUAUUAACAGGCAGUUAUUAAAGCUAAUGUUCACGUAGCACCCUUACUUUUAACUGAAUUUCAAAAUAAUCAAUUCAAAUUAGAAAACUAUUAAAGAUCCCCUUUAACUUUGCAAUGAAAAAUAUGCUUAAAUUAUGUAAUUUCUAAGCUAAUGAGAAUAAUAUUUAUAUUAAAAUAAAUAAAAAAUUAAUUAUAUUAUUUUAAUCUGACAUUAUAAGUUUUUUUUAUUAAAAAAUAUUUAAAACAUUUUUUGUUAAUUGUAUAAUAUUACAAUGCAGUUCAAAUGUAGCUAAAUCAUAUUACCCCUAAAUAUUUGAAAGGGAAAAAACCCAUAAUGCCCAUUAAGGAAAUCCCUACUUGCCAAUAUCGAAAGUAAAAUAAUUUUCCAUCCAACCGUUGGAUAGUUCUCAAAUAAAUAUAUUAUUGAUAAUACCAAGCUACAUAAUUCCCAAUAAAAUAUUAUUAGUACUACCAACUAAUAUUAAAAGUACAAUUAGAUCACAUUAUAAGGACACCGUGAAACAUCUCAAUAUUAGAAUAAUAGUCACGAAUAAUCUUAUGUAAAUUAUUUCAUGCAACUUUAUGUGAAAUUAAGUAAAUUAUUCUAUAUAGCAAUACCAUAUUUAUUCCUUUGUGCUAUAUUAUUUCUACGUUUAAAUUUAUCACUAUUUUCAAGCCACAAUAAUUUCUAUAAAUAGUUGUAAUGGACAUUUAUAUAUGUAAUGUUAAUAUUUGAUCUUAAUUUAUUAGUGUUAUCAUGAUUAAUGAAAUUAUAACACAACUUUAUUAUUGACGUUAUUAAUAGCUAUCAUUGUUAGCCAUUACUAUCAUUAUUAUUAUUAUUAGAGUUAGGAGUUGCUACAGUCAAAUUCUAGUACGUAACUAGCAAUAUAAUAUUGAUAAUUAUAAAUUCACAAUAACUGAAUUUGAGUAAUAUCCAUAUUAAAGAAAAAAGAACAUUGAAUAAUAUAUUUUUUUUUCAUAUUUUACAAUCAUAUAAUCUAGACAUGAUAAUUAUAUUUUUAGAUUUAUACCAAAUUAAUUUGUGUAAUAACGCGCAACGGAGGUGGUUACAUGAAAUAUAUAUACUAAUUGAUGUGCAAUUCAUUCAUAGGCAUUAUAAAGUUCAUUCACUAUUAAUACAUAAUAAAUCAAUUGUCAUUGAAAUGUAACUGUUUAAGAAUUAGUAUUAUGAACAGAAAUUUAUUGUUAAUAAUGAAAUAAAAUAAAAUAAAAUGACUCUUUUUUCUUGGGAUAAGGAGUCAUUUUUUAUUUAGGCGGCGAAACUACCGCCAUAAUGAAAUAUUUUUCAAACCUAUUUUUUUUACUAAAAAUAUAAAUACUUCGUAUUUUUCUACUUCAAAAACCCUAGCCACUCUAUCGAUUCAUCCCUCACACUGACACAUUCAAUACGAUCACCAACCACGAGAGCAGCCACCGCCGGAUGUCGUUGUUACCAAUACCCAAUACCCAGUUCAGGUAAUCAUUCAAAUAAAAUUUCAUUUUGUUGUUCACUAUCAACUAAUUCAGAUGAAAUCCUACACCUACCAGAAGGCCUUCAAUUUGUACCCAUUAAUAUGAAGAAAAGUUUUGAUAUCAUUGCCAUAUUUAUGAUCAUUCUGGUGACUUGUACAUCUCAAGUAUCAUUUGCUUAAAUAAUACCAAUGUUUAGUUGAAAAUGCUAGUCUAUGAUGACUCUUCAGGAGAAUCUAAUGAUCUUAACAAAGCGGGGUUUAUAAUUCUUGUCGAAUGUUAUCCAGUAUAAAUAAAUGAUGUAUAACUAUUUGUUUGGUGUACAAUUAUUUGUUAUGAAUAAUGAUGUACACAUAUACAAUAUACGACUGCUUCUUUACAUUUCUUCACAGAUUCAUUACUGAACAACCAAAUUAACAGCCGCUGUCACUACAUUAACACACUCGCUUAAGUUUUUUCAGAGAAGGUAUUUUCCGAUGCUGACUCCAUAUUUCUACUGUCUGUGAUAUUGAAUGACUUUUCAUGGGGUCUGUUAAUUUUUAAUUUAAUUUUCCAUCCGUUGGAUGCGAAUCUGCUGUACCGUACAUCCGCCUUGGCCGUACAGCAGUUUUAAUAUGUUGAUGAAACAGCUUUUUUUUUUUGGCACUAAUCAAAUAGGUUAAGUAGUAGUAUUAUUAUUACACAACUCAUUCCAAUAUGAUGUUCAGUCCACUAUUAACAUAGACAUAUUCCUCGUAAAAAUUUCGUAGAAAAAUUAUUCCUAAAGAUAGCCGAUUUCAUGAGUCACAAUAAUUAUUGCUUUUCAACUCUGUUUUUUGGGUCGGCAUCAUUUUCCUUGCUCUGCUCCUCUCUUGACUCCUCAGCUUGCUUCCUUUCUUCCUCAGCUUGCUUCCUUUCUGCUUCUUCCUUCCCUUCCUUGAGAGCUUGAAUCAAGCUUGAAAGGCAUUUCUCUACAUUGUCAGAUGGAGAUUUAGGCAUCAGAUUCUCAGCAACAUCGGCAGGUGUGAUCUUGGUAUCUUCCAUCAGCUUUUGAAUUGUUUCAAACAAUGUAUGAGUUUCCACAUUCAGAUAAUUCUUCGCAAGCACUUUGAAUCCCUGGAAUGUGCAGUAAGAGAGCUCUAUAUGUUUAUCCAUCCUGCCUCUUCUAAUCAAAGCUGGAUCAAGCUUCUCCACAUAAUUGGUGGUGAAAACAAUCAGCCUCUCCCCUCCACAAGCCGACCAUAGUCCAUCAAUAAAAUUCAGUAACCCUGAUAAAGUAACUUUGCUGCUGCCCUCUUCCUUUGGUUCCUUGCGCGAAAUCUCCUUAUCCAGCUUUUCUUUCUCAUCAUCCGACGACUUCUCAGCUUUCUUCUUCCUCUGACCUGUUAGUUCAAGCGAACAAUCUAUAUCUUCAAUCACAAUAAUUGACUUACUAGUCGUCUCAAUCAAAAGCUUCCUGAGCUCUGUAUUGUCCUUAACAGCUGUGAGCUCAAGAUCAUAAACAUCAUAAUUCAACAAAUUUGCCAUGGCAGCAAUCAUAGUAGACUUGCCAGUUCCUGGAGGACCAUAAAGAAGAUACCCUCUUUUCCAAGCCUUCCCAAUCCUUGCAUAAAAAUCUCUACUUUUGCUGAAAGUAACAAGAUCUUCAAUAAUCUCCAGCUUCUUCUCUGGCUCCAACGCCAUUGUCUCAAACGUUGCAGGAUGCUCAAACACAAUGUGACUCCACAUAGUUUGCUUGUAACUUGGCCACUUGUAACCAGGACUGUUUGUGUAAAGCUUCCUCUGCCGAUUUCUCACUCUGAUUUCUUUCCCUUCCUUCACUACAUGCUGCAAAUAAGACUCAGUUAUGAUCUCCCUAUACCGCUUAUGAAAUGUGAGCCUGUAGUAUCUCUUCUCCUGCUCAGGAUAAUAUGACAUGCCCCUCGUUGUUGACACGACUUUGCUUGAAACCCACCAAACUUUUACCCCGCGGAACUCGUCAGUAACUCUCUCAUACUCAUCCAUGCUAAGCACCAAGUUGCUGCUGUCUUUGCCCAUCUCAGCCUUGAGUCUUUUAGCACUCUUGGAUGAGUUGACGCUAAGAUAAGCCUCAACAGCAGCAUAAGCCUCGCUGCGCUUGAGGCGAUCACCCGUGAAUUCAUGGAUUGAAAUCUUGAUGUAAGGAUAAAAGAACCCCAUGAUUCUGUGCGUAUACUUUUCAAAGUGGCGGCGAACUUCAUAUGGGCAAUACUGGCGAAUGAUAGCCCACACAAACAUGAAACUUGCUAUUGUCGAACCCAUUGCUGCCAACAUCUCAGUCACUGUCGCUGGCACCAUCUUUCUUUGUUUUACAGUUGCUUUUACUCAGGCCAGGCCAAGCUAAGCGAAAAGAGUAUUGUAUUUGUGAUAAAGCUUUGUGAAUUGUGCUUCUUUUAUUCUGUUUGUUAGGCCUUCGAAUCAUAACAUUGUUAGUCCCUUAAAUAAAGUGAAGAAAGAGAAAACAGAGUAGGUAAGAGUAGAGAAUUGAGUCAUUACUAAACACCGCUUUUUAUGGACACAAGUGAUAUACGGGGAAAUUACCAUUUUCUCACUAUAAAUGUUUAAAAGGCUAAAAAUAUUAUAAAACUUUUAAAUCUAUCAAUUUUUUUAAUAUUGAUUACGCAUCAAAUUACUGUACAGCGGACCAUUACAUUGAUAUUUACAAUUAGAUAUAUGAUUGAGAUUUAUAUUAUUAAAUUAAAUUUUAUAAAGUCAAUUUUUUUAAUAUUGAUUACGCAUCAUAUUAUUGUACAGCAGACCAUUACACUGAUAUUUACAAUUAGAUAUAUAACUGAUAUUUAUAUUAUUAAAUUAAAUUUUAUAAAAUACAUGUCCAGAAAAAUAACUCUCACACACGAGCGAUGUCUCUACUCCACUAGCAUUUCACAAAGAAGAAAGAUUUUUAAAUUAACUUCACACAAUUAUGCAUAAUUAAGUAUAAAGUCGGGUCGGUCUUAGACAUCACUUGAUAAAUUUGGAAUCUGAAUUUUAUUAAAAAAUAUUUAUUAUUUUAAAUAUUUAUAUUUAUUUGACUCAUUUAUUACACAUAUAUAAAAUUUAAAACACUUAAAGUUUAUAUUUUCAUGUCAAAUUUUAUUGAAAUAAAUUUAAAACUUAUAAAAUUACCAAAAAAAUAUACACAUAUAAUAUUAAAAAAUAUAAAAUUUGGGUACCCGAAUUAAAAUUUGGCUCGAUGUCGAGCUUAAAAAACCCAGCCCAGACAUUUAAAAAUUACGUCUGGGCUGGAUCCGGGCAUUGCGAUACCCAAACUCGGCCCGAAGUUUUGCCAAUCAUGAGAAUUCGAACUACUGUUCUCACAAUCAUACUUAACUGUGGAGAUAAUUGUUCACCACUCAGCCAAAACCAAAAUCAAUCAUUUUUUAAACCAUACAUAAAAUUUUUUAAAAAGUAUUAUUGUUACAGCUUCCCCAUAAAUCUGUCAGAGAAUCUAUGUCAAAAGAUUAUUUUACGCUACGAAUUUAAUUUAACAUUAUGAUGCAAGGUAUUCUUAAAUAAUGAAUUAAAUAAGGCAAAUAGUGUGAAUUUUGUUUCGAAUGUCUGAACAAAAGUGAUGCAAACAUUUUGCGAAAUGUGCAUCAAGGAUCUGUUUAAAUUCUAUUAUUUGAUUAUGAAUGGAAUAGAAUUCAGUUGGUGCGUCUACGUGGACCGCGAUAGAAAAAGACAAAUGAUGCAGUCGGCGAGUCCACACCAUGUGCUGUAAAUAAAAACAAGUCACAUUUUGAUCCGCUUAAUGACAAAGAAAGAAGGCAAAGUUAAGUGAAAAGUGGGACUUGGUUGACGUUGACGCUGAUUUUCAAAAUAAAGUGAACGAAUCUUGGAGGGGAUUGAUCUAAUCAUCUAUGCUUUGAUCUUGCUUGCUCAGAAAUUUCCAAGUCAUUCCCCAUCAAAUUUGUGGGGUUGAAAAGAUUGGGGAUUUGCUUGGGAAGAAUCACUCCCAAGAGACUGCACUCUGCACUCGUCUUUCAGCCUGCUGUCUAUCUGCAUGUAGCAUCAUCGGGGACGAAAGUAGGAAACUUCUGGGAAAUUUUUGAAACGUUUUGCAAUGAUAAUGAAAGCUGUGAAGUCAUCUCAUGACAAUAAGCAUGACGACACUCACUGCUUCGAACCUUAUUAUCAAAGUCAACAAAUGGGUGUGUAUGGGAGCUGGCUAAAGCUGGAACUGUAAGUUACAGAAUCCGUAACUUGCCAGCUCCCCGUUUCUAAUCUAUUAUUCAACAACUAUAAUAAAUUUAUAACACGUCCUUUCAAGAUUUGUAAAGCCGUAGCCACUAGCCAGCCAUAUCAUUUGUUCAACCUUAAAUCAUUGGAGCCUGUCGAGUGUCGAAAAUUCUAGAAAAUAAGAACGCAAAUAUCAAGGAGAAUAAUGGUUUUGUUCUGAUGUUUUUGUUUUUAAAUUUUUAGUAGAAUGAGAUACGUAUAACCAAAAAAACUUGGAGAUUGUUUGGACUCUGGCGAGUGGUGACCCGACCCAGAAAGUAGGUGUCAGCAAAUAUGUGGCCACUCAGUGUAAAGCAUUGUUAUUAUCAUUAUUAUUAAAGGACACCAGUAGUGGAAUAGACGAGUUAGUCAUGUUUUGGACUUCACUUUUUUGAUCAAUGGUUGAAAGGAGACAACCGCUCGAGUCAAAUCAACUCACGUGGGUUAGUCCUAUGAGCAUAAACUUUGGGGCAAGUACAAGUAACAUUGCAAAAAUUAUUGUUCUUUUUUCUUUUGUUUUGGAUUGUUUAUUUUUUUGGUACGGAGACAAAUAUUGCUAUUAUUAUUAUUCACCAAAACAAUAAUACCCCGCGUGACAAUGAUAUUACUCUUAUGACACUAAACUUGGGUAUUCAUUCAUUUGUCAUCUUUACCAUUUGCGCAAUAUGCCAAGUUUUAUAAUAAAUAAUUAUAAACUUGUAAAGAUCGCCCGCCGUCCAUUCAUGAAUAUUAUUUAAUGCACGCAGCCUAAAUGGAUUAGGCACUCACUCUUAAUAUCUUUUUGUUUUUGGAACAUGCACUUGUAAUACAUGGAUUCCUCCUCAUUCCUCAACCAAAAAGGCAAAUAAAGUAAGUUGGUAGUGUGACACAUGUUUUCAUUUAUUAAUUAUUUAAGGUCUUGGUGGUUGGUAGUAAAGAACAAAAACUUAUUAUCAAAAGUGCAGGUUUUAUAAUAGAUAAGGAUCCGUUUAAUAUUAGUUGAAAUAAUUUAAAUCUGUCUAAGCUGAAAAUAGUGUAUAUCAUUCUAAAGAAUGGAUAAGGUUGAUUUAGAUUAGUUAGAUGUUUUUUGAAUUAGCUUCUUAGGUGAGUUAGUUAGCCAAGGAAAGCUAAACGACUCCAGUUCAGUUGUGCGGAUGGUGUGGAGCUCCUUCAAAGCAACUGAGACAAAGGUAGUUUUUGAACAGCUGUGGUUGUUCCAGUGCAUAAACUAAGCUGUUGUUAGUGCUAAUUGCUGUGAUGAAGUGAAAGCCUAUUGUAUUCACAUGAGCUUUUAGAAAAAGAAAGGUGCAUUGAGCUCUACGAAGAACGCGGCAUCGGCGUUCAUGGAUACGCUACGUUCGAUCAUAACCAUCACCUUUUGCAUUUUCAGAGCUUUAGAUUCUUGAUAUCUUCCUCAUUGGCAAACCAGUCUGGUAUUAUCCGUGCCAAAUGAGGGAAAAGAUCUUUGUAGACAUUCUUGAUGGUCCCUUCUGCUACUCUCGUAACAAUGGAGAUCUCUGCAAAAACAGGGGCAUGAAUGGCAUCUGAGUAAGCAUAAUUUCUAAAAGAAUUGAUAGCUUUCUAACCUUUGAGAGGCUUUGUGUCAUUUGAUAGCUGAGUUAUGAUGUAAAUAACAGCUGCCGCCACUGAGAUCGGGCUUCUCCUGUGAAAGCAAGCAAGAAUUUUGUUUUACCCAAAGCCAAUGACACCAUCUACAUACACUAUUCAUUUAUGAUUAAUUUUCUAAUGGAGUUGUUAAAAAAUUUCACAGAGAGAGAGGGAGAGACUGCUGUACCGUACAUCCCCCUUGGCCGUACAGCAGUGUGAAUUUUGUUUCGAAUGUCUGAACAAAAGUGAUGCAAACAUUUUGCGAAAUGUGCAUCAAGGAUCUGUUUAAAUUCUAUUAUUUGAUUAUGAAUGGAAUAGAAUUCAGUUGGUGCGUCUACGUGGACCGCGAUAGAAAAAGACAAAUGAUGCAGUCGGCGAGUCCACACCAUGUGCUGUAAAUAAAAACAAGUCACAUUUUGAUCCGCUUAAUGACAAAGAAAGAAGGCAAAGUUAAGUGAAAAGUGGGACUUGGUUGACGUUGACGCUGAUUUUCAAAAUAAAGUGAACGAAUCUUGGAGGGGAUUGAUCUAAUCAUCUAUGCUUUGAUCUUGCUUGCUCAGAAAUUUCCAAGUCAUUCCCCAUCAAAUUUGUGGGGUUGAAAAGAUUGGGGAUUUGCUUGGGAAGAAUCACUCCCAAGAGACUGCACUCUGCACUCGUCUUUCAGCCUGCUGUCUAUCUGCAUGUAGCAUCAUCGGGGACGAAAGUAGGAAACUUCUGGGAAAUUUUUGAAACGUUUUGCAAUGAUAAUGAAAGCUGUGAAGUCAUCUCAUGACAAUAAGCAUGACGACACUCACUGCUUCGAACCUUAUUAUCAAAGUCAACAAAUGGGUGUGUAUGGGAGCUGGCUAAAGCUGGAACUGUAAGUUACAGAAUCCGUAACUUGCCAGCUCCCCGUUUCUAAUCUAUUAUUCAACAACUAUAAUAAAUUUAUAACACGUCCUUUCAAGAUUUGUAAAGCCGUAGCCACUAGCCAGCCAUAUCAUUUGUUCAACCUUAAAUCAUUGGAGCCUGUCGAGUGUCGAAAAUUCUAGAAAAUAAGAACGCAAAUAUCAAGGAGAAUAAUGGUUUUGUUCUGAUGUUUUUGUUUUUAAAUUUUUAGUAGAAUGAGAUACGUAUAACCAAAAAAACUUGGAGAUUGUUUGGACUCUGGCGAGUGGUGACCCGACCCAGAAAGUAGGUGUCAGCAAAUAUGUGGCCACUCAGUGUAAAGCAUUGUUAUUAUCAUUAUUAUUAAAGGACACCAGUAGUGGAAUAGACGAGUUAGUCAUGUUUUGGACUUCACUUUUUUGAUCAAUGGUUGAAAGGAGACAACCGCUCGAGUCAAAUCAACUCACGUGGGUUAGUCCUAUGAGCAUAAACUUUGGGGCAAGUACAAGUAACAUUGCAAAAAUUAUUGUUCUUUUUUCUUUUGUUUUGGAUUGUUUAUUUUUUUGGUACGGAGACAAAUAUUGCUAUUAUUAUUAUUCACCAAAACAAUAAUACCCCGCGUGACAAUGAUAUUACUCUUAUGACACUAAACUUGGGUAUUCAUUCAUUUGUCAUCUUUACCAUUUGCGCAAUAUGCCAAGUUUUAUAAUAAAUAAUUAUAAACUUGUAAAGAUCGCCCGCCGUCCAUUCAUGAAUAUUAUUUAAUGCACGCAGCCUAAAUGGAUUAGGCACUCACUCUUAAUAUCUUUUUGUUUUUGGAACAUGCACUUGUAAUACAUGGAUUCCUCCUCAUUCCUCAACCAAAAAGGCAAAUAAAGUAAGUUGGUAGUGUGACACAUGUUUUCAUUUAUUAAUUAUUUAAGGUCUUGGUGGUUGGUAGUAAAGAACAAAAACUUAUUAUCAAAAGUGCAGGUUUUAUAAUAGAUAAGGAUCCGUUUAAUAUUAGUUGAAAUAAUUUAAAUCUGUCUAAGCUGAAAAUAGUGUAUAUCAUUCUAAAGAAUGGAUAAGGUUGAUUUAGAUUAGUUAGAUGUUUUUUGAAUUAGCUUCUUAGGUGAGUUAGUUAGCCAAGGAAAGCUAAACGACUCCAGUUCAGUUGUGCGGAUGGUGUGGAGCUCCUUCAAAGCAACUGAGACAAAGGUAGUUUUUGAACAGCUGUGGUUGUUCCAGUGCAUAAACUAAGCUGUUGUUAGUGCUAAUUGCUGUGAUGAAGUGAAAGCCUAUUGUAUUCACAUGAGCUUUUAGAAAAAGAAAGGUGCAUUGAGCUCUACGAAGAACGCGGCAUCGGCGUUCAUGGAUACGCUACGUUCGAUCAUAACCAUCACCUUUUGCAUUUUCAGAGCUUUAGAUUCUUGAUAUCUUCCUCAUUGGCAAACCAGUCUGGUAUUAUCCGUGCCAAAUGAGGGAAAAGAUCUUUGUAGACAUUCUUGAUGGUCCCUUCUGCUACUCUCGUAACAAUGGAGAUCUCUGCAAAAACAGGGGCAUGAAUGGCAUCUGAGUAAGCAUAAUUUCUAAAAGAAUUGAUAGCUUUCUAACCUUUGAGAGGCUUUGUGUCAUUUGAUAGCUGAGUUAUGAUGUAAAUAACAGCUGCCGCCACUGAGAUCGGGCUUCUCCUGUGAAAGCAAGCAAGAAUUUUGUUUUACCCAAAGCCAAUGACACCAUCUACAUACACUAUUCAUUUAUGAUUAAUUUUCUAAUGGAGUUGUUAAAAAAUUUCACAGAGAGAGAGGGAGAGACUGCUGUACCGUACAUCCCCCUUGGCCGUACAGCAGUGUGAAUUUUGUUUCGAAUGUCUGAACAAAAGUGAUGCAAACAUUUUGCGAAAUGUGCAUCAAGGAUCUGUUUAAAUUCUAUUAUUUGAUUAUGAAUGGAAUAGAAUUCAGUUGGUGCGUCUACGUGGACCGCGAUAGAAAAAGACAAAUGAUGCAGUCGGCGAGUCCACACCAUGUGCUGUAAAUAAAAACAAGUCACAUUUUGAUCCGCUUAAUGACAAAGAAAGAAGGCAAAGUUAAGUGAAAAGUGGGACUUGGUUGACGUUGACGCUGAUUUUCAAAAUAAAGUGAACGAAUCUUGGAGGGGAUUGAUCUAAUCAUCUAUGCUUUGAUCUUGCUUGCUCAGAAAUUUCCAAGUCAUUCCCCAUCAAAUUUGUGGGGUUGAAAAGAUUGGGGAUUUGCUUGGGAAGAAUCACUCCCAAGAGACUGCACUCUGCACUCGUCUUUCAGCCUGCUGUCUAUCUGCAUGUAGCAUCAUCGGGGACGAAAGUAGGAAACUUCUGGGAAAUUUUUGAAACGUUUUGCAAUGAUAAUGAAAGCUGUGCUAUUAGUUUUCAACCAAAAAACUUUCCUCCUCAACAUAACCCAUCUAGUAUAGUUUUCUAGUCCAGAAUCUUAAAGUGCAGGAAAAGUCCGGAAUAACUUUAAAACUGCGGGGUUUUAAAGGCUUACAACUUGAAACACUUAAACCGCACAGUUUAUCCGUUUUUCCGGACAUUCUCGCACUUUAAAAUUCUAAAUUGGAACAUAAAUAAAUGUUUCAAUUCAGGAUCUUAAAGUGCGGGAAAAACCACAUGGUUUUAAAGGCUUAAAAUUGUAGGCCUUUAAAACUAUGCGGUUUUAAAACUUUCCCGCACUUUAAAAUUAUGAACUAGAAAACUACUAUAUCUAUAUAAUAUCAUAUAUCAUAUAAUAUCAUAUCAUAUAAAUAUUAAUAGGAAAAUUAUUUGGGAGGCAGCAAGAUGCAGAAUUACAUGUAACCACUAAUGAUUAAAUCCAAAUUACCUCUUAUUUGUAACUUCUAUCAAUAAACCACUUUUUGUUGAAUUUGAAUAAAAGAUGUUAAAAAAUCUUUAUUAAAAUAUCCAUUUUCCCUUGAUAUUGUUUAAAAAUGUUAAAAAAAAAAAAUUAUUACCCAUUGAAGCAAGUUUGCAACUGCGAAAAUUAAAAACAGCAGUUGCUUAUGCCAAAAAAUAAAAAAUCAGAAAAGAAAAGGCAUGCUCCCGGUUAGGUAGAGAUUUUUGUUGUGACAAUUCUUUAUUAAAUGAUUAACUCAAAACUGAUUGGCUCUUGUCAUACAAUUAUUCUACUAGUUUCAGCAUACGAGAAGUAUUAGAUCUUAUUGCUUCUCUAUUAAUUAAUACUUGGUGCGUCAGGUAAUGGAAUGAAAGAAAUUAAAUUUUUUUUUUUGGCUGAAGCUUCCAAUUAUCGGAGAUGGCUAGCCGAACAAUAACCUUCGGCUCUAGGAAUGAGUUGGAACCAUCCGUAAGACACACAAGAUGAGAUACGUUGCCAAAACCCAUAUUUUCCUGAAGAUAGCCUUCAAUUAAUGGAUUGAAUAAUAAUCUAUCAUCAUGAAUUUUAAUAACUCUGGUGAUAAAAUCUCAAUAAGCUACUAGCUAGCUGAAAAUGGGUUCAAAAUUCCACGACCUUGAAAUUACAAGGUACUGAAACCUCAUUGAAGAUUUCAGAGUUUGUUGUAAACUGUACUUUCAAUGCAAAGAUCAGGGCAUUGGAAGGCAAGUGUUUCUAAUCUAUCCUAUUAUUGUGGACAGGGUCUACUUCUAGCGUAAGAAACGGUCUCCCUAGAACUGGGAUAGAGUCUCAUAAGUAUGUGUACCUUAAUUUAAAUAUAUAUAUAUAUAUAUAUUUUACGGAUGUAAGUCUAGAGAAAUAAGAAUAGACGACUCUUCAAUUAACGAAAUUAAAAGAUUUUGUCAUUUAGAUUUCAUGGACCAAAAAUCAAAUCAAAAUUUGAGAAUAUUAUGCAGCUUAUUGAUUUCUCACUCGGCUGUAAUGCUAGGACUGAAUGAGGAAUCUUAUUUAUCCAGUCAUAAAUGUUCCGUGAGAAUUGAUGAAUUGGAUAAUUAAUCAUCAUUAACAAACUAGUUCCCUCAUCCCUGAGAAUCUAUGGAUUGGAUAAUUAAUCGUCAUCAACAAGCUGGCUACUAGGUAAAGGUUUACGGAUUCAUUUUUCGUUGACUUUGAAAUCACUAAGUAUAUAAUAGGAGAAUAGACUACUUCAACUCUUUUUAAUAUGUUGAUUUGUUUGUUUCAAAUAUCAACUCCAAGAAAUUACUUAAACAAGAAGAAACGGCUCAUUAUCUUGACGUAGUACUUCUGUAAAGUGUAUUUAAUUAAUUUUCAACCUGUAGCUACAUAUCAAAGCUGGAGUUUAUAUCCCAGAAUCAGAUAGCCAAAAGCAACAAGAAAUAACUUCAUACUCUCGCUUGACCAAGUACAUACUUCUACCACGUCUUCAAUUUCAAUCUUUUUUUUUUCCGUCGCCAUAUCAAAUUAAAAGCAGCUUAGAUCUUUGUUAACACACGCUUUACAAAGCCAAAAAGCCAACAAUUAAAUAAUCUCAUUAUUCUGAUUCUGAUCCUACAAUUUGCUAUUAAAAACUUUUUUUUCAAUCAAACUAUAUGUUGAAUGUAUUUAGUAUUAUGAACAAUUUAAUUGAAAAAUCUAGCACGCUGCUUCAAUAUCAUAUUGCAUCUUAGUCUAAAAAUUAUCGUCCUCAAUAUCAUAUCUGAUGCAUUAUUUUUAUUAAGUUUUGUUUGAUAGUUAUAGUUUUUUUCUACAGCAGCAGUAGCUUAAAAAGUACAUCACCUCAAUCCCAAAUGAACCUUAGUAUCAUAGUUGUGCAGCUGUAGCUUCGGUUAUAGUACUUGUGUUUGGUUUGAAGAAAUGAAAGAAAAUAAGAUGAGAGAAAAGGAGGAGAGGGUAAAUAAAUAAGGAGAAAAAAAGAUGAAUUUUGUGUCAAAAUAAACAAUAAAAUUGAGAUUGAUUUUUUUUUUUAACCUCAUUUCCUCUUGAGCAUAUAUGUUGGACUUAUAAAUUUAUGUUUGGAUGUAAAUUGUUUGAUAAAUUCCUAUUGUUGUGGUUUGGAAAUUAGGUUAAUUUGAUUUAACAUUUAUAUAAUAAACCACUUACAGUAUCUUUAUUAUAUUUUUAUCAAAACUUUCAUUUAAAAGUCAUAUUUAUUAUAUACUAAUAACUUUUAUUUCAUGAUGAUAGAUGCAGCACUUCAAAACCAAAAUAAGACCAUAUAUUUUUAUAACUUCUCUUAUCAGAAUAUGAAUGUUGCUUGCACGCAUUAACAAUUCCACUAGUUGCCGGUUCAUAAUUAUCACGUCAACUCUUAAAAAAAGGGCGCACUGCCGGUUCAUAAUUAUCUGCACAAAGUACAUUAUUCUAGCAUUAAAUUUUAAAUAUCUUUCAGUGCCUUUAAAAAUUAAACAUUCAAACUACGUAGUUAUAUUGUCAGAAAGCCAAAACAAUGAGACGUUCUUUUUGGUUCAUUAUCUUUCCCGGUUGCAAAGGCCAGGUUACGUAACAAUUUAAAUAAUCUGUACGCGCUAUCCGAAUUCAGAAAGUCAACAAACCUCAUCGAUCUGCCAAUUCUUUGGCAUUAAUAUUUUACUUAAUUCAAAGUAAUGUUAAUCACGCUUUCAGGCUCCAAGGAUUAAUAUAAAUAGAUCCAUCAUCUUCCUUUAAAUCAACAACUAAAGACUACUUGCAGCCAUUAAUUGUGUAAAUUUAGAUUUUAAUCACAACCAUGAUUUCUUCUUCAUCAACGUCACUCAUUGGGCUGCUAUGCUGCCUGAUAGUGUUAUUGAUUCUCCCUUUCCCUUCCCAUGCAAGUGACCCUGAUCCUUUACAAGACAUCUGUGUUGCGGAUUUGAAUGCUUCCGGCUCUAUUAAUGGUUUCCCCUGCAAACCUGAGUCAGAAGUAACUUCUGAUGAUUUCUUCACGGAUUUUUCCAAAGAAGCAGCUACUUUUGAUGUCUUUAAACGUGGAGCUACACUCGGUGAUGUUUUUGGCUUUCCAGUGGUCAAUACUCAAGGAGUUUCACUCUUCCGAAUUGACUUGGGUGUCGGUGGAAUAAACCCGCCUCAUACACACCCUCGUGGAACCGAGGCUGGUAUUGUUACUAGAGGAAAGGUGCUCGUAGGUUUAGUAACAACUAAUAAUACCUUUUUCUCAAAGGUUUUGACUCCCGGGAUGGUGUUCUUAAUUCCCAGAGCGCUGAUUCACUUCCAGCUGAAUGUUGGAAAGGGGCCGGCCACCUUUAUACCUAUUUUCAAUACUCAAAAUCCUGGCGUUUCGGACUCACUCACUACUCUUUUUGAUACAACACCCCCAAUUCCCAAUNNNNNNNNNNNNNNNNNNNNNNNNNNNNNNNNNNNNNNNNNNNNNNNNNNNNNNNNNNNNNNNNNNNNNNNNNNNNNNNNNNNNNNNNNNNNNNNNNNNNNNNNNNNNNNNNNNNNNNNNNNNNNNNNNNNNNNNNNNNNNNNNNNNNNNNNNNNNNNNNNNNNNNNNNNNNNNNNNNNNNNNNNNNNNNNNNNNNNNNNNNNNNNNNNNNNNNNNNNNNNNNNNNNNNNNNNNNNNNNNNNNNNNNNNNNNNNNNNNNNNNNNNNNNNNNNNNNNNNNNNNNNNNNNNNNNNNNNNNNNNNNNNNNNNNNNNNNNNNNNNNNNNNNNNNNNNNNNNNNNNNNNNNNNNNNNNNNNNNNNNNNNNNNNNNNNNNNNNNNNNNNNNNNNNNNNNNNNNNNNNNNNNNNNNNNNNNNNNNNNNNNNNNNNNNNNNNNNNNNNNNNNNNNNNNNNNNNNNNNNNNNNNNNNNNNNNNNNNNNNNNNNNNNNNNNNNNNNNNNNNNNNNNNNNNNNNNNNNNNNNNNNNNNNNNNNNNNNNNNNNNNNNNNNNNNNNNNNNNNNNNNNNNNNNNNNNNNNNNNNNNNNNNNNNNNNNNNNNNNNNNNNNNNNNNNNNNNNNNNNNNNNNNNNNNNNNNNNNNNNNNNNNNNNNNNNNNNNNNNNNNNNNNNNNNNNNNNNNNNNNNNNNNNNNNNNNNNNNNNNNNNNNNNNNNNNNNNNNNNNNNNNNNNNNNNNNNNNNNNNNNNNNNNNNNNNNNNNNNNNNNNNNNNNNNNNNNNNNNNNNNNNNNNNNNNNNNNNNNNNNNNNNNNNNNNNNNNNNNNNNNNNNNNNNNNNNNNNNNNNNNNNNNNNNNNNNNNNNNNNNNNNNNNNNNNNNNNNNNNNNNNNNNNNNNNNNNNNNNNNNNNNNNNNNNNNNNNNNNNNNNNNNNNNNNNNNNNNNNNNNNNNNNNNNNNNNNNNNNNNNNNNNNNNNNNNNNNNNNNNNNNNNNNNNNNNNNNNNNNNNNNNNNNNNNNNNNNNNNNNNNNNNNNNNNNNNNNNNNNNNNNNNNNNNNNNNNNNNNNNNNNNNNNNNNNNNNNNNNNNNNNNNNNNNNNNNNNNNNNNNNNNNNNNNNNNNNNNNNNNNNNNNNNNNNNNNNNNNNNNNNNNNNNNNNNNNNNNNNNNNNNNNNNNNNNNNNNNNNNNNNNNNNNNNNNNNNNNNNNNNNNNNNNNNNNNNNNNNNNNNNNNNNNNNNNNNNNNNNNNNNNNNNNNNNNNNNNNNNNNNNNNNNNNNNNNNNNNNNNNNNNNNNNNNNNNNNNNNNNNNNNNNNNNNNNNNNNNNNNNNNNNNNNNNNNNNNNNNNNNNNNNNNNNNNNNNNNNNNNNNNNNNNNNNNNNNNNNNNNNNNNNNNNNNNNNNNNNNNNNNNNNNNNNNNNNNNNNNNNNNNNNNNNNNNNNNNNNNNNNNNNNNNNNNNNNNNNNNNNNNNNNNNNNNNNNNNNNNNNNNNNNNNNNNNNNNNNNNNNNNNNNNNNNNNNNNNNNNNNNNNNNNNNNNNNNNNNNNNNNNNNNNNNNNNNNNNNNNNNNNNNNNNNNNNNNNNNNNNNNNNNNNNNNNNNNNNNNNNNNNNNNNNNNNNNNNNNNNNNNNNNNNNNNNNNNNNNNNNNNNNNNNNNNNNNNNNNNNNNNNNNNNNNNNNNNNNNNNNNNNNNNNNNNNNNNNNNNNNNNNNNNNNNNNNNNNNNNNNNNNNNNNNNNNNNNNNNNNNNNNNNNNNNNNNNNNNNNNNNNNNNNNNNNNNNNNNNNNNNNNNNNNNNNNNNNNNNNNNNNNNNNNNNNNNNNNNNNNNNNNNNNNNNNNNNNNNNNNNNNNNNNNNNNNNNNNNNNNNNNNNNNNNNNNNNNNNNNNNNNNNNNNNNNNNNNNNNNNNNNNNNNNNNNNNNNNNNNNNNNNNNNNNNNNNNNNNNNNNNNNNNNNNNNNNNNNNNNNNNNNNNNNNNNNNNNNNNNNNNNNNNNNNNNNNNNNNNNNNNNNNNNNNNNNNNNNNNNNNNNNNNNNNNNNNNNNNNNNNNNNNNNNNNNNNNNNNNNNNNNNNNNNNNNNNNNNNNNNNNNNNNNNNNNNNNNNNNNNNNNNNNNNNNNNNNNNNNNNNNNNNNNNNNNNNNNNNNNNNNNNNNNNNNNNNNNNNNNNNNNNNNNNNNNNNNNNNNNNNNNNNNNNNNNNNNNNNNNNNNNNNNNNNNNNNNNNNNNNNNNNNNNNNNNNNNNNNNNNNNNNNNNNNNNNNNNNNNNNNNNNNNNNNNNNNNNNNNNNNNNNNNNNNNNNNNNNNNNNNNNNNNNNNNNNNNNNNNNNNNNNNNNNNNNNNNNNNNNNNNNNNNNNNNNNNNNNNNNNNNNNNNNNNNNNNNNNNNNNNNNNNNNNNNNNNNNNNNNNNNNNNNNNNNNNNNNNNNNNNNNNNNNNNNNNNNNNNNNNNNNNNNNNNNNNNNNNNNNNNNNNNNNNNNNNNNNNNNNNNUUUUUUUUUUUUUUUAAUCGCCAUGUCAAAUUAAAGGCAGCUUGAAUCUUUAUUAACACAAAGAAUUUUCAAAGUCAGAAAAGCCAUCUAACGAUCUCAUCCUGAUUCUGAUCCUACAAUUUGCCAUUAUUUUACUAAAUUCAAAGUAAUGUUAAUCACGCUUUCAGACUCCAAGAGUAGUAUAAAUAGAUCUAUCAUCUUCCUUUCAAUCCACCAACGCAAAAGGACCCACAGCUAUUAAUUGAUCCUACUCACAGUUAACCAUGUAUUCUUCAUCAGCGUCACUCUUUGAGCUGCUAUGCGGCCUGAUAGUGUUAUUGCUUCUCCCUUUCCCUUCCCAUGCAAGUGACCCUGAUCCUUUACAAGACGUCUGUAUUGCGGACUUGAAUGCCCCCAUCUCUAUCAAUGGUUUCCCCUGCAAACCUGCUUCAGAAGUAACUUCUGAUGAUUUCUUCACUGAUUUUUCCAAAAAUCCGACCACAUUUGAUGUCUUUAAGCGUGCAGUUACACUUGGUGAUGUUUCUGGCUUUCCAGCGGUCAAUACUCAAGGAGUUUCACUCUUCCGAAUUGACCUGGAUGUAGGUGGAAUAAACCCACCUCAUACACAUCCUCGUGGAACUGAGGCUGGCAUUGUUACUCGAGGAAAGGUGCUUGUUGGGUUAGUAACAACUAAUAAUACCUUUUUCUCAAAGGUUUUGACUCCUGGGAUGGUGUUCUUAAUUCCCAGAGCACUGAUUCACUUCCAGCUAAAUGUUGGAAAGGGGCCGGCCACCUUUAUACCUAUUUUCAAUACUCAAAAUCCUGGCGUUUCGGACUCACUCACUACUCUUUUUGAUACAACACCCCCAAUUCCCAAUGAAGUGCUGACCAAAUCGUUUCGAGUAAGUGAUGAUGUGAUAAAUGCCAUCAGAAAAGCCCGGGCAUCAAACUAGUAAUCGAUCCGGCUAGGUUAACAUCCUGGAUGCUUGAUCAAUAUGCUUUAGUGUGCCAACAUAUAUAUACUAAUAAAUGGGAUUUAUUUUAUGUUACAAUUAUUGAUUAAAGAAUAAAGUCGAGACGACCAAUAGUUAUUGAAUAAGGAAAGUGUGAUUUUUUUUUCUCAUUUCUUCUUCUUUUACUUUUUUAUUUUUCCAUGGCAUUAUCUGAGCAAUUUGUUGCUUCCAUCGGCCUCGUUCAUUGGUAUUUCCUUGUAGGCUUCAAAUAAUCUUUUAUAAUCCGAAAUUUCAUUCCUGUAAUUUCAGCCUCUCAAUAUCCAUUAAUGGUACCCGUGCAAUAAUUAUUGAAUAAAAAAUGUCUAAUACUUAUUAAUUUUUUUGUCUUGUUAAUUUUUUUUCAUGGGUCAUUCUAUUUGAUACCGCGAUAAAAUAAUUCGAUAAAUAUGUCAAAAAUAAAAUUACCAGUUAAAUAGAAAACAUACUGAAAUCAAACCCGUUCAUUGCUUUAUUAUUUUUUUGUUCUCCCUAUUCAACCGAACCAAUUGAAAGUGAUAGUGACGAUUACGUGGAAUAUUUGGGGGGCACGAAAUAAGCUAUUAUUCAGAAGGCAAUUUAGUUCACCACAAGCCAUCUAUGCACGGGCUCAAAGAAUUUUCGAAUCUUUUGGGAGUUGUGGUGUGGCUAUUCUUGAUUCUAAUUUGAGUAGUGUCGUGUGUGGGGAUGAUAGUGUUGUGCGGUAGUUGCCACUAGUAGGUUGGGUGAAAUUAAGUGUAGACGCAGCAGUUGAUCUAGCUCGGGGUGCAGUGGGUUACGGCGCCGUUGUGCCAAAUCAUGAAGGUUUGGUGAUGGCUACGGGAACUUUUCAUGUGGUUUUUUCUGAUGAGGUUGAUAUCACAGAGGCAGAAUCCUUGCGCUUUGGUUUACAGUUCGCUAGUGCAGCUGGUUUAUUUUGUUAACAGUUGCAGUCAAAUUUGCUUCAAGUCAUAGAACUAUUUUAAAUCUUUUCGGAGGUUCUUUGAAUUAUUUCUGAGCUGAAGCAAUUGCAAUUACCAAAGCAAAUGCAUUAGCUAAAUGUUCUAUGUAGUUUUUUAUUCUUAUAUUUGGUGGGAAGAUUUUCCACCACAUUUAAAUUGCUAACUUGAGUGUAUUAUGAUUCUGAUUCUAAUAAAGUUUUUAUCUCACCAACCCAAAAAAAAAAUUGAAAUAAUAAAAAUAAUGAAUAACUUAUUUAAGCCCCCGUUUGGUAUAACUUUUCAAGUAGAGCUUAUUUGAGUAGAGUUUUUAUUAAAAAAAAUUUAGUUGUUUAAUUGUCAAUUAAAGUUUUUAUUAAAAAUUUAUUAAAUUACUUUAAUAGAAAAGUUUUUUAAAGUUAUGUCAUGAAAAAAAUAAAAUAAGAUUGUAAAAUAAGUAAAGGAGAUUUUAGAUAUUUUCUCUUAAAACUCGAAAUUUGAGCUUUUGUUAAUAGAGGUAAAAUAGAUUAUUUAAACUUCAAAAGUUCUAUUAGAAAAACAACCAAACAACACCAAAAAUUAUUAUAAGAGCUUAUGAGAUUAAAUAAGCACUUAUGGUCAUUGAAUAAGUCAUACCAAAUAAUCGCAUAGUACUUAUUUAUUAUUGAUUGUAAUUUUUUUUUUUAUAAGAGCUUAUGAGAUUAAAUAAGUGCUUAUGGCUCUUAAAUAAGCCAUACCAAACAGGCACUAAGUCAUACCAAAUAAUCACAUAGUACUUAUUUAUUAUUGAUUGUAAUUUUUUUAAAAAAAAUAAAUUUUAGUUUCUAAAAUUAGAUUUUAAUUUUUAUAUUCUAUUUUUGCAUUUAUAACGUACUUUUUUUUUUCCAUGUAUGUAUGUGAUAAAAGUACUCUGAAUUUAUUACGAUACAUUCCUCAUUCUUGAAAACGUACUAGUUCGCUAAAGCUUACAAAGGAAAGAAAUUGGUAUCAACCUUUUAGGAACCUUAAAAUUUUUAUAAACUCAUUAUCCUUUAUCUCUAAUUUGAGUUGAAAAACAAAUUAAAUCGUUUUUCUAUAUUCAUUUUGGUUUUGUAGUUGCACUUUAUUUUAUCCGUAGAACAUGGAUGAAGGAAUCAUAUCAUGAACUCCAAAUUUACCACAACAAUUGAUGCUCUUGUAACCCAUUCCCAAUUUAUUUGAUGCUCUUUUAACUCAAUUUAUUUGAUUAAAAAAAUUAUUAUUUUUAUUUAAAUUAUUUUUAAAAAAUUACGAUUAGUAAACAUUAUUAACUUUUUUAUUAUAGCUAGAUCUUUUUUACUUUCCAACAAUACCAAACAAAGCCUUCCACGGGCAUACAUUGUAGCUGAAACAUCACAAAAUCUUAUUCCAUAAUUUUUACGAGCAAGCUUUGUUUUAAAUGGCCGAGGAGCAACUGGGGUUCGUCCUGGUGCCCAUAGCUUUCGAAGUAACUCACCAAAUGCUACAGCUAGUUCACCCUAUAUAAGACCACUUCAACUCAGUAUUAUAACAAGACAACAAUCAUACACUCAUGAAAAAUCAUCAAGAGUGGAUGGACUUCUUAAAAUAAAUAGAUUUGAACAGAAAAAUAUUUUAUACAUAUCAACAAAUCAUUAAAGAUACAUAAAUUUAUGUCUGAAGAUUAUAUUUGGCUUUUUUUUUUUUCAUUUUAUGUAAAUUUGGGUGUUCCAAAAAUGAAACAAAAAUGUGUUUAGACAACAUAAGCUUAUGUAUAUAUUUUGGUAGUUACACAAUGAAACUCACAGUACUCCUAGUGAUAAAGUUUACUAACACCUAAUAACUUUUUUGUGAAGUUGAUUAUUUUAUAAGCACACGAAAUCUCUGUCCCUUAGCGUCUCUCCUAGAUAGUUGUGUGGAUGAGUUUUGAUGACUACGGUGGCGUUUGUUUUUUUAUCUGAAAUCUGAAUAGACCUGAAUUAGUCUGAAUUCUGAAUAGAUCUGAAUGUCUGAAUCUGAAUAAUAUGUUUGUUUUUUCGUCUGAAUCUCAAAAAAUAAGUAUUAAGUUGUUUGUUUUUUUCAACUAAAAAAGCUGAAAAUAUGUACUUUUACAUUUGUAUCCUUAUUAAAUUUGAAUGUCAAAUAAAUAAUAUAUUAAAUACCACAAUAUUUUAACAUUUAUAAGUAAAACUAUAUUUAAGUGAAUACAUAAUUAUUUUGGAAUUUUAAUAUAUAAAAUAUCAUAAAUUUCAAAUUUUAUCGUAUAUAAUAUAAGAAAGAAAAAACAGAGAUAUUUUUAUGUGGGGUAAAUGUCUAUGGGUGAGUUUUGGGAUAGACAUGAAAAAUAAAUUAUAAAACAUGGAUAUUUUUGACAUUAGUAAGUAAUUGACUUAAUUUAAAUUUUUUCAUUAAGUAAAAAGCCAAAAAAAUUGCCUUAUUUCAUUAAGUCAAAAUUAUCUAAAAAGUCUCAUUAAGUUAUAAAAACAAACACCUCUAAUUAACUUAAUUAAUUAAGUUAAGUCACUUUAAGUCAUUAAGUUAAAAAACAAACGCCACCUACAUUUUGUUCUUCUACUUUGAUAAAAAUGAUUCCGUCUUCUUCUCGUCCAACUUAGUUAAUCUAACAAAUUACUAAAGAGGAUGCAACUUUGACACUGAAUUUCAAUACCAAACAUAUAUUCUCUCUUCAACAGAAUCAUUAAGGCAUUUCAAACGCUUGGCAAGCAAGGCUAGCUUGUGCUAACAAAGAUACAUUUUGGAAUAGCUUCAAGAUAUUAAUAUUCUGUUACAUGAAUUAAAUUUGGUGUUAUGUUGAUGAUUGAGAAUAGAAGGAACUCGCGCCGAUUUGUAAUGUAUUCACGAAAUGUUGCUUGCACGUCUCAAUAAAUCCAUUUUUUAAAAAAAUAUAUAUAUAUGAAUUGAUUUAUAGUUGGUGCAACAGGUUAUGCAGUCAAUGAAUACAUAUGUUAUUCACGUUCGCAAGCAUUAGAUUAACUUUGUUAAUGACUCUGGAAUGUAUUAAGAAAUCUAAAAUUGUUUGAUGAUAUACGUUUAUCUAAAAGGAAUUAAGGAAAGGGUCAAGUUUGGCGGUUGAAUAGCUCGGGAUCAACGGCCAUGUCAAAGUUAAUUAAUAAACCCAAGCAUAUUCUGCUGAUCAUAAUUAAUGGAAGGGAUCGAUUGGCUAUCACACUACUCCGCAGUUGACAUUGAAGUUUGUCAUUGAAGUAUGUCUUCUUCAAACAUUCCCGCGGAAGGUUGCGUGUCAAUAUUUGACCACUAUGAAAUUACCGCGUAUUCAUUGACUACUUCACAUCUCAUUAUUGAAUGUUGUAGGAUGGUUGCAUAGGAUGAGUAGAGUAUUUUCCGGAGGUCAUAAUUUAGUUACAUGUGUCUAUUUUGGGGGUCAUAAUUUAGAUAUUUUAUUUCUUUUAUGAUUGUUUUGCCCUUUGAAGUUGUUUUCUUAUUUUUCCUGUUACUUCCAAAAUUUUAUUUUUAUUUUUUUUUAGAUGUCGGAUUUAGGCGUUGUUUGUUUUGUUGUCCUUAUUUAGAUUAUAAGAAUUUUAUUAUAAAAUAAUAUUUUAGAUUUACCUAUUUUAGUAAAUUCGCGAUAUUUAGAGUUAUUAUCAAAGGGCCCCAAAACCCCUAAUUUUGUCCAUUCACACUUUUGCAAUAAAAUUUUCAUUAUUUAGAAACCUAGUUUCUUUUUCAAUCCAACUUGUAUGCAUCAUCAACUUAAGUUUUAAAUUGCUUUUGAUUCAUCUAAAGAAGUUAAAAUUUCCCAAAAUCUUCUGUCUCAUAACUUUUAUGGGCCAAAAAAAUCAAAUUAGAAAUUCGAUCACAUUCCCCACCUUGUUGAUUAUAAAAGGAUAGAGAUUAUAAAAUUAAUUUAAAUCUUGCUCACUCUCUACUUCUCAUAAAAAUAAAAUAUAAAAACUACAAAAAUUAAUUGAUAAAAAAUUAUUUUUUUCCCCUUGGCAUAAAAAGGUUGCAUAUUGCUCAGAUAACUAUUAGUUUGAACGCACAAAGAUUCAAGGGUGGAGAUUUUUUUACUUUCCAAUCCAAUGGACAGAACCCUCUAUUGUAGAAAUUUCCAUUUUCUCAUAGCAUACCGAUGAACUGACAGUGGAGAUCCUAGAAACUAAUAAGCAAGCAAGAGAAGACAAACAGAAAAGUGAAAAAAAAAAAAAAAAUCUCCUUUGAUCAUGCAUGUUAUUUGAUCAUGGCCAUUCUUAUAAUAUAAUUACAACAAAAUAAUUCUAAUAUGAAUACGAGUAAAAAGCUUUACGAGCCUGAUCACUGUAUCGAGGACAAGAAUAUUGACUUCUCGAGUGAAAGUCACACGCCAUCUAGGCACUCUUAAGGUACAUUUAAGAUUUAGGUUGGUAAAUUGUAACUUAAAAGUUGCAACACUAAAGUAUUUGGUAAACACUAACUGCUAUAACUUGUAAGCUAUGUUGAUAUGAUUUUUCACUUGUAUAAUAAAAAUUAUUAUAUCUUUAAUAAUUUUGUCAAAAUUAUUAUGUAAAAUUUAUAUUUACUAUAUAUUAUUAAGUUUUGUUUGAUAGUUAUAGUUGUUUUCUACAGCAGCAGUAGCUUAAAAGGUACAACACAUCAAUCCUAAAUGAACCUUAGCAUCAUAGUUGUGCAGCUGUAGCUUCGGUUAUAGUACUUGUGUUUGGUUUGAAGAAAUGAAAGAAAAUAAGAUGAGAGAAAAGGAGGAGAGGGUAAAUAAAUAAGGAGAAAAAAAAGAUGAAUUUUGUGUCAAAAUAAACAAUAAAAUUGAGAUUGAUUUUUUUUCUAACCUCAUUUCCUCUUGAGCAUAUAUGUUGGACUUAUAAAUUUAUGUUUGGAUGUAAAUUGUUUGAUAAAUUCCUAUUGUUGUGGUUUGGAAAUUAGGUUAAUUUGAUUUAACAUUUAUAUAAUAAAUCACUUACAGUAUCUUUAUUAUAUUUUUAUCGAAACUUUUAUUUAAAAGUUAUAUUUAUUAUAUACUAAUAACUUUUAUUUCAUGAUGAUAGAUGCAGCACUUCAAAACCAAAAUAAGACCAUAUAUUUUUAUAACUUCUCUUAUCAGAAUAUGAAUGUUGCUUGCACGCAUUAACAAUUCCACUAGUUGCCGGUUCAUAAUUAUCACGUCAACUCUUAAAAAAAGGGCGCACUGCCGGUUCAUAAUUAUCUGCACAAAGUACAUUAUUCUAGCAUUAAAUUUUAAAUAUCUUUCAGUGCCUUUAAAAAUUAAACAUUCAAACUACGUAGUUAUAUUGUCAGAAAGCCAAAACAAUGAGACGUUCUUUUUGGUUCAUUAUCUUUCCCGGUUGCAAAGGCCAGGUUACGUAACAAUUUAAAUAAUCUGUACGCGCUAUCCGAAUUCAGAAAGUCAACAAACCUCAUCGAUCUGCCAAUUCUUUGGCAUUAAUAUUUUACUUAAUUCAAAGUAAUGUUAAUCACGCUUUCAGGCUCCAAGGAUUAAUAUAAAUAGAUCCAUCAUCUUCCUUUAAAUCAACAACUAAAGACUACUUGCAGCCAUUAAUUGUGUAAAUUUAGAUUUUAAUCACAACCAUGAUUUCUUCUUCAUCAACGUCACUCAUUGGGCUGCUAUGCUGCCUGAUAGUGUUAUUGAUUCUCCCUUUCCCUUCCCAUGCAAGUGACCCUGAUCCUUUACAAGACAUCUGUGUUGCGGAUUUGAAUGCUUCCGGCUCUAUUAAUGGUUUCCCCUGCAAACCUGAGUCAGAAGUAACUUCUGAUGAUUUCUUCACGGAUUUUUCCAAAGAAGCAGCUACUUUUGAUGUCUUUAAACGUGGAGCUACACUCGGUGAUGUUUUUGGCUUUCCAGUGGUCAAUACUCAAGGAGUUUCACUCUUCCGAAUUGACCUGCAUGUAGGUGGAAUAAACCCGCCUCAUACACAUCCUCGUGGAACUGAGGCUGGUAUUGUUACUCGAGGAAAGGUGCUUGUUGGAUUAGUAACAACUAAUAAUACCUUUUUUCUCAAAGGUUUUGACUCCCGGGAUGGUGUUCUUAAUUCCCAGAGCGCUGAUUCACUUCCAGCUGAAUGUUGGAAAGGGGCCGGCCACCUUUAUACCUAUUUUCAAUACUCAAAAUCCUGGCGUUUCGGACUCACUCACUACUCUUUUUGAUACAACACCCCCAAUUCCCAAUAAAGUGUUGACGAAAUCUUUCCGAGUCAGUAAUGAUGUGAUCAACACCAUCAGAGCGGCCCGGGCAUCAAACUAGUAAUCGAUCCGGCUAGGUUAACAUUCUCGACACCUGAUGAUACCCAUUAUAAUGUCUCAGAACUAAUGAAUAAGAUUUAUUUUAUGUAAUAAUUGUUGAAUAAAGAAAAGAUGGUGGCGAUUUGCAUGCUAAAUGUACCUCGAAUUCCAUAUUAUGAUAAAGUUUUUUUUUUCCCCCUAAAUUUCUUUUUGUUCAAAUCAUAUGUUGAAUCAUGAACGUGUAAGUUAGUAUUAGGAUAAUUUAAUUGAACUAAAUAAAAUACAUGUUACUCUUGACACCAUCUAGCACAAUUAUUCAAAAUCCUAUUUGUUUUCAACCAAAAAACUUUUCUCCUCAACAUAACCCAUCUAGUAUAGUUUUCUGGUCCAGAAUCUUAAAGUGCAGGAAAAGUCCGGAAUAACUUUAAAACUGCAGGGUUUUAAAGGCUUACAACUUGAAACACUUAAACCGCACAGUUUAUCCGUUUUUCCGGACAUUCUCGCACUUUAAAAUUCUAAAUUGGAACAUAAAUAAAUGUUUCAAUUCAGGAUCUUAAAGUGCGGGAAAAACCACAUGGUUUUAAAGGCUUAAAAUUGUAGGCCUUUAAAACUAUGCGGUUUUAAAACUUUCCCGCACUUUAAAAUUAUGAACUAGAAAACUACUAUAUCUAUAUAAUAUCAUAUAUCAUAUAAUAUAAUAUCAUAUCAUAUAAAUAUUAAUAGGAAAAUUAUUUGGGAGGCAGCAAGAUGCAGAAUUACAUGUAACCACUAAUGAUUAAAUCCAAAUUACCUCUUAUUUGUAACUUCUAUCAAUAAACCACCUUUUGUUGAAUUUGAAUAAAAGAUGUUAAAAAAUCUUUAUUAAAAUAUCCAUUUUCCCUUGAUAUUGUUUAAAAAUGUUAAAAAAAAACAUUAUUACCCAUUGAAGCAAGUUUGCAACUGCAAAAAUUAAAAACAGCAGUUGCUUAUGCCAAAAAAUAAAAAAUCAGAAAAGAAAAGGCAUGCUCCCGGUUAGGUAGAGAUUUUUGUUGUGACAAUUCUUUAUUAAAUGAUUAACUCAAAACUUAUUGGCUCUUGUCAUACAAUUAUUCUACUAGUUUCAGCAUACGAGAAGCAUUAGAUCUUAUUGCUUCUCUAUUAAUUAAUACUUGGUGCGUCAGGUAAUGGGAUGAAAGAAAUUAAAUUUUUUUUUUUGGCUGAAGCUUCCAAUUAUCGGAGAUGGCUCAUGGCUGCUAGCCGAACAAUAACCUUCAGCUCUAGGAAUGAGUUGGAACCAUCCGUAAGACACACAAGAUGAGAUACGUUGCCAAAACCCAUAGUUUCCUGAAGAUAGCCUUCAAUUAAUGGAUUGAAUAAUAAUCUAUCAUCAUGAAUUUUAAUAACUCUGGUGAUAAAAUCUCAGUAAGCUACUAGCUAGCUGAAAAUGGGUUCAAAAUUCCACGACCUUGAAAUUACAAGGUACUGAAACCUCAUUGAAGAUUUCAGAGUUUGUUGUAAACUGUACUUUCAAUGCAAAGAUCAGGGCAUUGGAAGGCAAGUGUUUCUAAUCUAUCCUAUUAUUGUGGACAGGGUCUACUUCUAGCGUAAGAAACGGUCUCCCUAGAACUGGGAUAGAGUCUCAUAAGUAUGUGUACCUUAAUUUAAAUAUAUAUAUAUAUAUAUAUUUUACGGAUGUAAGUCUAGAGAAAUAAGAAUAGACGACUCUUCAAUUAACGAAAUUAAAAGAUUUUGUCAUUUAGAUUUCAUGGACCAAAAAUCAAAUCAAAAUUUGAGAAUAUUAUGCAGCUUAUUGAUUUCUCACUCGGCUGUAAUGCUAGGACUGAAUGAGGAAUCUUAUUUAUCCAGUCAUAAAUGUUCCGUGAGAAUUGAUGAAUUGGAUAAUUAAUCAUCAUUAACAAACUAGUUCCCUCAUCCCUGAGAAUCUAUGGAUUGGAUAAUUAAUCGUCAUCAACAAGCUGGCUACUAGGUAAAGGUUUACGGAUUCAUUUUUCGUUGACUUUGAAAUCACUAAGUAUAUAAUAGGAGAAUAGACUACUUCAACUCUUUUUAAUAUGUUGAUUUGUUUGUUUCAAAUAUCAACUCCAAGAAAUUACUUAAACAAGAGCCAUAUCAAAUUAAAAGCAGCUUAGAUCUUUGUUAACACACGCUUUACAAAGCCAAAAAAGCCAACAAUUAAAUAAUCUCAUUAUUCUGAUUCUGAUCCUACAAUUUGCUAUUAAAAACUUUUUUUUCAAUCAAACUAUAUGUUGAAUGUAUUUAGUAUUAUGAACAAUUUAAUUGAAAAAUCUAGCACGCUGCUUCAAUAUCAUAUUGCAUCUUAGUCUAAAAAUUUUCGUCCUCAAUAUCAUAUCUGAUGCAUUAUUUUUAUUAAAAAAAAUGAAAAAAAAAAAACCCAUACAAGUUUUAAUAAAAAUAAGAAAAUUAUCUGGGAACCAGUAAAAUGUAGAAAGUACAUGUAACCACCAAUGAUUUUUGACCGUAGCUCUCAACAACCUAUAGUUUGCAACUUGUAUAAGUCAACCACUGUUCUGAGAAUUCGGUUAACAUCUGUCAAUAAUAUUUUGUUAAAAGAUCAAUUUGCCUUUGAUAUUGUUUAAAUAUGUUGAAAAACAGUUUAAUUUAUCCAUUGAAGCAAGCUUCCAAAUUCGAAAAUUGAAAACAGUAGAUGUUUUUGAAGGCGAGAAAGAAAAAAAGAAAAGAAAAGGAAACCAGUUAACUAGGACAAAAAGAAAUAGAACAAGCUUGCGCUCGGUUAGCUAGAGAAUCUGUCAAGACGACAAUUCUAUAUUAAAUGAGUAAAUCAAACUUAUUGGCUAUUAUAACUAAACUAAACUAUUCUACUAGUUUUAGAAUAUAUGUGACAGCAUCAGUUCUUAUUGUUCCCUGUCAAUGAUUUCGGUUAACUUUAACAAUUGCAAAUUGCUGCCUUCAAUGCAAAGAUUCGGUUGGAGGUCAAGUAUGUUUAAUCUAUCGUAUUAAUUUUAAUAGUUUGAUGCAUGAAAUCAUGGAGGCGUUUGUUUACCUCUAACCUUAAUUUUGAUGCUCGGAGGAAACUACUUUGGAAGCCUGAUACAACCUUCCACAUUCAGCUGGAUCAACCGGAUUAUUUACGAGAAGGGCAGCCCAUCGAUGAGUCUAAUUGUGUGCAGCCCAUGAAGGAAGCCUCAUCACAAGUUGUAGUAGAAGUAGCUCGUGAGGAAGGGUAUACCAGCACAAGAGUGAGAAGACCCCUGGGUGGUUUAAAGAUUAUGUCGUAUAGUGAAAUUGAUAGAGCUUUAUAUUUUGCUGGUUUAUGUUGCUGUCAUAUUUUCUGUUACAAAGUUAUGCUGAACUGUAUUCUUUUAAAGGCCAACAGACAGAGGAGUAUAUGUAUAGCAUAACUAAUUCGUGCAAAAGGAAUGCAGAAUGAAUCAUUUCUUUUUAACUUUUCUCUAUUCUUCUCUCACUCUCCAUCUCUCUCCCCACUCUUGCUCAUCUUUGUGAAUUUCUUUUGGAGUCAGCCCUCACUCGAAGAGUGCCAAUUUAUCGAUACAACCUUGGUUGCAGAGAGGUGUAUCAGUGGUGCUUUCAUUGCUAUCGUUAUGACGGAUUCUGACCUUUUAAAGACGAUCCAAGAAUAGUUCCAGAGCCAAACAUUGUCCUCACAUCAAACGCUGCAACAGUAUAUGGCCACGGUGGAUUCUCGCCUUAAUGAUUUGCGUUCACAGAUCCAUGGGUCUUCCAAUCACUCGGGUCGGGUUCCUAAUCCACCACACCCAACCUCUUCUUCGACUGAGGUAAAUUCCAGUGGUAUUGAGCUGUCCCCUGUGCCCCGUUCUAUGAAGAUGGAGGUUCCUAAGUUUGAUGGAUCUGACCCAAACGGGUGGGUUUUUCGAAUUGAGGAAUUCUUUGAUUUCCACGGGACACCGGAAACUCUUCGUUUGCGAAUUGUUUCUUUUCAUAUGGAAGGACGGGCGUGAAAUAUAAGUGUGCAACCCAAGAGGGGGGGUGAAUUGGAAAUUUAAAAAUUAUCCUAGCAAAUCCACACAACAAGCAAUCUAAUGUCUUAAUAAAAAUUGAAAGCAAUAAGUUCAAUAAAGGCACAAUAAUUAAAAGAGUAAGGGAAGAGAAAAACGAACACAAUGAUUUUUACGUGGUUCGGCUAUCCCCGCCUACGUCCAUGCCUCCAAGCACACCGGGCUUGAGGAUUUCACUAUCCAAGCCUUUCCAAGGCUUCAACAAUUAUAAUUGACUUCGAGGUGUCAAUAAACCUUUACAACAAAGAGAUUAUCUCCCAAUCUCUUUACUCAAGUGUCUCACACACUCAAACUCUUACAAAUGAAAUGAAGAAAUGAAAGUUAUAAUCAAACUCACUCAAUGAGUAGAUAUUCAAAGAUGAAGAACAAUGAAUGAUUCAAUGUUUUGUGUUUUGCAAGUUGUAAGCUCAAGAUAUCAUGUGUGCCUUUUGUUUUUGCUUGUUGGAGAGCUUCAAAAUGAGUUGGAUUUGAGUUCUUAUAGCUUGAGCUCGAAAACUAGCCGUUACUCACAUUCUGGGCUAUCCGGUUUGCCGUUUUAUGGAAUCCGGUAAGCCGAAUUUAUGUUACCGUUUAGGCAAAAUUCAAAAUUUUGCCUAACCGGUUUGCCGGAUUCAGGAAUCCGGUAAGCCGUUUUCGUUUUGGUGCUUACUGCCCGUAUCCGGCUUGCCGUUUAUCAGUAUCCGGUAAGCCGCUUGCUACAGUAACUACUACAGUAAAAUAUUUCCCAAAAUUUACUGUUUGACCCCAAAACUUUAUAAAACUGUAGUAUAACCCAAAACGUUAUGAAACUUUUCAAAUAAGUCCAAUUUCAGAAUUUCUAAAUAAUUCUUCGUUAACCCCAAACUUUCUGAAAUUAUGACUUCGCCCAAACUUUGUGAAAUUAUAGAAUGGCCCAAAAAUAUUUAAAUAAUUUCAAAUAGGUCCAAAUUCGAAAUUUCAAGCACUACUUAUUUAUUUCAAAGUUUUCAAAAUUCUUUCAAUUAAACCAUAAACUUUGAAAAACAACCAAUUUCAUAAAAUCAUUUUUCCAUUAAAUAUGAAACAUUUAUAAUGUGAACAUAAUGAUUUAUUUAAAAAGAAUAAAAACAAUCAAUUUCAUAAAAUUAUUUUUCCAUUAAAUAUAAAACAUUUAUAAUAUGAAAAUAAUGAUUUAUUUAAAAAGAAUAUUAAAUAAUUUGAGCUUAAAAGAUUAAUCAUUCUUAAUCUUAUUUGUUAUCAUCAAAAUCAAUAUUAUGGAAACAUAUAUGUUAACAGAGCGGCAGCGUGGUAUCAAUGGAUGAAAAUGAACAGCUUGCUUACAACAUGGAAAGAAUUUUUGCAGAACCUUAAACAUCGUUUUGGUGCCUCCCUCUAUGACGAUCCUCAAGGAAAUUUGUCUAAGUUAUCCCAAACUACAACAGUGGCAGAAUUUCAGACCUCUUUUGAAGAUUUAAUGAAUCGCGUGACUGGAAUUUCAGAACCGCUUCUGAUAAGUUUUUUUAUCACGGGAUUGAAAUCCGAUAUUCGUCGUGAGUUACUUUUUGUUCGACCUUCUUCUCUAAUGGAAGCCUUUGCACUAGCUCGUGCCUAUAAAGCCUGUGCUGAAGAAGCCAAACAAGGACACCGUUUUUUGCCAAAAUGGAACACCAUGUCACCUACUCAUACCACAACAUUCCCGUUACCCAAAUUUCAGCCUAACACAUAUCUCAUUGCUUCAACCCAGCCUCACCAUUCCACUGGUAUGGCCCAAACCAUAUCUCACUCCCACAAUACUUCCCCACCCCCGAAACCAAACACAUUACCACCACUUCUACCCACGCCCAACUUACCGAUUCGCCGCCUUACUCCAGCAGAGCUACGUGACAAGCGUGAGAAUGGAUUGUGUUAUAACUGCGAUAAAAAAUAUAGUGCUAAUCAUCAUUGUCGCAGUAAGUUUUUGCUUCUCAUGGGUACUGAUGAUAAUGAACUUCCUUCUUGUGAACAAGAGUUGCCACCGGAUCCUGUCGAAUAGGUCAUAAUAGGGGAUAUUUCCAGUUUGAAUGCUUUGGCGGGUCAAAUCAAUCCCCGCUCACUCCGUUUAGUUGGCAAAGUUGGUUCUCACAGUUUUCAAGUAUUGAUCGAUAGCGGAAGUACCCACAACUUUAUCAAACCAGCAGUGGCAAAGCGUUUGGGCUUACCGAUACAGCCAACAGCAAAUUUCUGUGUUUAUAUUGGCAAUGGGGAUUUUCUAGUGUGCAAAUAUGUUUGCCCUCAAGUUGCUCUCACGAUGCAGGGAACAGUCUUCACUUUGGACCUCUUUGUUCUGCCCAUUGAGGGGCCUGAUGUGGUGUUGGGAAUACAAUGGCUGCAACUCUUGGGACGUGUCUCUCAUGAUUACUCUGCCCUCUCUAUGGAAUUUUGUUGGAAUGGGGCACCAGUGACUCUUCGCAGCGAACUAUCCACUACUCCCUCCCUAAUCACCUUUCAUCAGUUGCAAUCUCUAGUCCACAUUGCUGAUAUUUAUAGUUUGUGUGCUCUGCAACAGGUACCUGUACCCGGGGAGGAAUCGGAAAGCAAUCCCAAGAGUUCUUCCUUCGAAUUACCUCCACAUUUAACCACACCCUUUGUUGAUCUUCUACACACCUACCGCAACUUAUUUCUUCCACCUACUACCCUGCCACCACAUCGCACAAUUGAUCACAGAAUCCACCUCCUCCCCAACACCACUCCCAUAAAUGUGCGCACAUAUCGCUACCCCCAUUCCAAAAAAAUGAGAUGGAAAACUUGAUCCGUGAAAUGUUAGAACAAGGCAUCAUUAAACCAAGUCAAAGUCCAUUUUCGUCACCGGUCUUGUUGGUAAAAAAAAAAGAUGGGACCUAUCGUUUCUGUGUUGAUUAUAGGGCUUUGAAAGCCGCCACCAUUAAAGAUAAAUUCCCCAUUUCGACUAUCGACGAAUUAUUCGAUGAAUUAGGCGGGGCAGCAAUCUUUAGCAAGUUGGAUUUACGGGCUGGUUACCAUCAGAUUCGCGUGCACCACCGAGACAUUUAUAAAACGGCUUUUCGCACUCAUGAGGGCCAUUACGAGUUCCUCGUCAUGCCGUUUGGGUUAACAAACGCGCCUUCUAUCUUUUAAGCUACUAUGAACCAGAUUUUCGCUUCCUUUUUGCGUAAAUUUGUGAUUGUUUUUUUUUAUGACAUUUUGGUUUAUAGUGCUACAGCAGAGGAACAUUUGCGGCACCUUCAGCAAGUCUUGUGGUGCCUUCAUUUUCACCAAUUCUUUGUCAAGCUAUCCAAAUGCUUGUUUUGCCAAGACGCUAUCGAUUACCUGGGCCACAUUGUUUCAGUCUCUGGUGUGCGAGCCGAUCCUCAAAAAAUUGCAGUUAUGGUUCGUUGGCCAACUCCUCAGACUACUAAAAAACUUCGAGGUUUUUUGGGUUUGACAGGUUAUUACCGGCGGUUUAUCCGCGGAUAUGCAUCUUUAGCAACCCCACUUACUGAUUUGCUUUGUAAAGAUGCCUUCCAGUGGACACCAGCAGCAGCUGACGCAUUUGAAGCUCUUAAGAGAGUAAUGGUGGAAGCCUAUGUGUUACGGCUACCAGAUUUUGACUCCGACUUCAUUCUUGAGAUUGACGCCUCUAAUGUGGGUAUCGGGGCUAUGCUUAUGCAAUCGGGGCACCCCAUAUCUUAUUUCAGUAAGAAAUUAGGUCCUCGACUUCGGGCUUCUUCUACCUACAUCAAGGAAUUAACCGCUAUUGUUGAAGCGGUGCACAAAUGGCGACAAUACUUAUUGGGCAGAUUUUUUGUAAUUCGAACUGACCAUAAGAGCAUUAAGGAACUUCUCCAGCAGGUAGUUCAAACUCCGGAUCAGCAAGUCUACAUCAGAAAAUUACUAGGCUAUCACUUCCGCAUUGAGUAUAAAUCAGGUUGUACCAAUCUUGCAGCCGACGCCUUAUCACGAAUUCAUGACGAGGCUGGUGAGGUAACACCAACAGUGACUGCUUCUUGUUUUCCCCUCCUUAGUCACUCGUCGUUUGAGUUGUUAGCAACUCUAACAAUAGAUAAUUCCACACUUCUAGAAAUGAUUGAUCUUCAUCAGCAGUUUGCUGCGGGGUCUCUUUCACGGGAUUAUUCGCUGCAUAAUGGGGUCUUUUUUUAUCGCAAUCGUUACUAUAUGAGUCCAUCAUCAUCCUUGAAAGCAGUUCUAUUGGCUGAAUUCCACUCUACUACACUUGCAGGGCAUGUAGGCAUCAAACGCACGCUGGUCCGCUUGGCAUCUAAUUUUUUUUGGCCUAAAAUGCGUAUGGACGUUGAGCGAUUCGUGGCCGAAUGCCUUGUGUGCCAACAAACUAAAUAUUCUACUCAAGCACCAGCCGGUCCACUGCAGCCGCUUCCUAUCCCCACUUUAGUUUGGGACGAACUCACUAUGGAUUUCAUUACUGGCCUUCUAGUUUCCCGAGGUUUCACGGUGAUAUUAGUAGUGGUUGAUCGCCUUACGAAAUCAGCACACUUUGGAUCCCUGCUCACUCAAUUUACAGCAGUGAAGACUGCCGAAUUAUUCGUGGAUAUGGUAAUAAAGCUUCAUGGAUUUCCGACUUCUAUUAUUUCCGAUCGCGACCCUAUGUUCUUGAGCACUUUUUGGAAGAAGUUAUUUGAGUUAAGUGGCACUACCCUUCGACACAGUACAGCCUAUCACCCACAAACAGAUGGGUAAUCGGAGGUUGUCAAUCGCGGCUUUGAGCAAUAUCUUCGCGCUUUCACCCAAGACAAACCACACUCAUGGGUAUCUCUACUUGGGUGGGCUGAGUUUUCCUACAAUUCUACUUAUCACAGCAGCAUCAAAAUGUCUCAUUUUCAAGCUCUUUUUGGGCGACCACCUCCAGCAAUUCCUCCUUACUCGAAGGGCUCUACUUCAAUCCAAGCUCUUGAUAAAGCAUUAAGUGAACAGGAUGCCUUACUUCGUACCUUGAAAGAGAAUUUGCGUCAAGCUCAACAUGGCAUGAUUCAAAAGGCUAAUGCACAUAGACGCGAAGCUCAGUUUGCUGUUGGGGACCAGGUUCUAGUGAAGCUUCAGCCAUACCGCCAAAAUACAGUGGCAUCUCGUUCUUGUCAAAAGCUAGCUAAACGGUAUUAUGGCCCAUUUCCUGUACUCGCUCAAGUUGGCCCUGUAGCUUAUAAGCUUGCCUUGCCCAGUGGUUCCAAGAUUCAUCCAGUGUUUCACAUAUCACUUCUCAAACCCUUUCUUGGUUCUCAUACACCUGAUCACCAUUCCUUGCCAUCAACUAGUGUGGACAAUCAGCCAUUAUAUCUCCCUGCUGCAGUUUGCGCUAUUAGAACCGUGCUUAAACAAGGAACGAGAUGUCGCCAAAUUCUGGUUCAAUGGCAGGCCAGUUCGCCUGAAGAUUCUACUUGGGAAGAGUUCGACACCUUCUGUAAACUUUAUCCCGAUUUUCACCUUGAGGACAAGGUGGAUUUUGAAGCUGGAGGGGAUGAUACAACCUUCCACAUUCAGCUGGAUCAACCGGAUUAUUUACGAGAAGGGCAGCCCAUCGAUGAGUCUAAUUGUGUGCAGCCCAUGAAGGAAGCCUCGUCACAAGUUGAAGUAGAAGUAGCUCAUGAGGAAGGGUAUACCGGCACAAGAGUGAGAAGACCCCCUGGGUGGUUUAAAGACUAUGUCGUAUAGUGAAAUUGAUAGAGCUUUAUAUUUUGCUGGUUUAUGUUGCUGUCAUAUUUUCUGUUAUAAAGUUAUGCUGAGUUGUAUUCUUUUAAAGGCCAAAAGACAGAGGAGUAUAUGUAUAGCAUAGCUAAUUCGUGCAAAAGGAAUGCAGAAUGAAUAAUUUCUUUUUAACUUUUCUCUAUUCUUCUCUCACUCUCCAUCUCUCUCCCCACUCUUGCUCAUCUUUGUGAAUUUCUUUGGAGUCAGCCCUCACUCGAAGAGUGCCAAUUUAUCGAUACAGCCUUGGUUGCAGAGAGGUGUAUCAAAGCCUUAUACAAAUUUUUAGCGUCUAAGCAUGAUCUCAAAUUUAUUUGGAGUUCGGCGGCUUCUAUCCAACUAAAGAAGUUAAAAUUUCCCAAAAUCUUCUGUCUCAUAACUUUUAUGGGCCAAAAAAAUCAAAUUAGAAAUUCGAUCACAUUCCCCACCUUGUUGAUUAUAAAAGGAUAGAGAUUAUAAAAUUAAUUUAAAUCUUGCUCACUCUCUACUUCUCAUAAAAAUAAAAUAUAAAAACUACAAAAAUUAAUUGAUAAAAAAUUAUUUUUUUCCCCUUGGCAUAAAAAGGUUGCAUAUUGCUCAGAUAACUAUUAGUUUGAACGCACAAAGAUUCAAGGGUGGAGAUUUUUUUACUUUCCAAUCCAAUGGACAGAACCCUCUAUUGUAGAAAUUUCCAUUUUCUCAUAGCAUACCGAUGAACUGACAGUGGAGAUCCUAGAAACUAAUAAGCAAGCAAGAGAAGACAAACAGAAAAGUGAAAAAAAAAAAAAAAAUCUCCUUUGAUCAUGCAUGUUAUUUGAUCAUGGCCAUUCUUAUAAUAUAAUUACAACAAAAUAAUUCUAAUAUGAAUACGAGUAAAAAGCUUUACGAGCCUGAUCACUGUAUCGAGGACAAGAAUAUUGACUUCUCGAGUGAAAGUCACACGCCAUCUAGGCACUCUUAAGGUACAUUUAAGAUUUAGGUUGGUAAAUUGUAACUUAAAAGUUGCAACACUAAAGUAUUUGGUAAACACUAACUGCUAUAACUUGUAAGCUAUGUUGAUAUGAUUUUUCACUUGUAUAAUAAAAAUUAUUAUAUCUUUAAUAAUUUUGUCAAAAUUAUUAUGUAAAAUUUAUAUUUACUAUAUAUUAUUAAGUUUUGUUUGAUAGUUAUAGUUGUUUUCUACAGCAGCAGUAGCUUAAAAGGUACAACACAUCAAUCCUAAAUGAACCUUAGCAUCAUAGUUGUGCAGCUGUAGCUUCGGUUAUAGUACUUGUGUUUGGUUUGAAGAAAUGAAAGAAAAUAAGAUGAGAGAAAAGGAGGAGAGGGUAAAUAAAUAAGGAGAAAAAAAGAUGAAUUUUGUGUCAAAAUAAACAAUAAAAUUGAGAUUGAUUUUUUUUUUUAACCUCAUUUCCUCUUGAGCAUAUAUGUUGGACUUAUAAAUUUAUGUUUGGAUGUAAAUUGUUUGAUAAAUUCCUAUUGUUGUGGUUUGGAAAUUAGGUUAAUUUGAUUUAACAUUUAUAUAAUAAAUCACUUACAGUAUCUUUAUUAUAUUUUUAUCGAAACUUUUAUUUAAAAGUUAUAUUUAUUAUAUACUAAUAACUUUUAUUUCAUGAUGAUAGAUGCAACACUUCAAAACCAAAAUAAGACCAUAUAUUUUUAUAACUUCUCUUAUCAGAAUAUGAAUGUUGCUUGCACGCAUUAACAAUUCCACUAGUUGCCGGUUCAUAAUUAUCACGUCAACUCUUAAAAAAAGGGCGCACUGCCGGUUCAUAAUUAUCUGCACAAAGUACAUUAUUCUAGCAUUAAAUUUUAAAUAUCUUUCAGUGCCUUUAAAAAUUAAACAUUCAAACUACGUAGUUAUAUUGUCAGAAAGCCAAAACAAUGAGACGUUCUUUUUGGUUCAUUAUCUUUCCCGGUUGCAAAGGCCAGGUUACGUAACAAUUUAAAUAAUCUGUACGCGCUAUCCGAAUUCAGAAAGUCAACAAACCUCAUCGAUUUGCCAAUUCUUUGGCAUUAAUAUUUUACUUAAUUCAAAGUAAUGUUAAUCACGCUUUCAGGCUCCAAGGAUUAGAGGAGAAAAAAAAGAUGAAUUUUGUGUCAAAAUAAACAAUAAAAUUGAGAUUGAUUUUUUUUCUAACCUCAUUUCCUCUUGAGCAUAUAUGUUGGACUUAUAAAUUUAUGUUUGGAUGUAAAUUGUUUGAUAAAUUCCUAUUGUUGUGGUUUGGAAAUUAGGUUAAUUUGAUUUAACAUUUAUAUAAUAAAUCACUUACAGUAUCUUUAUUAUAUUUUUAUCGAAACUUUUAUUUAAAAGUUAUAUUUAUUAUAUACUAAUAACUUUUAUUUCAUGAUGAUAGAUGCAGCACUUCAAAACCAAAAUAAGACCAUAUAUUUUUAUAACUUCUCUUAUCAGAAUAUGAAUGUUGCUUGCACGCAUUAACAAUUCCACUAGUUGCCGGUUCAUAAUUAUCACGUCAACUCUUAAAAAAAGGGCGCACUGCCGGUUCAUAAUUAUCUGCACAAAGUACAUUAUUCUAGCAUUAAAUUUUAAAUAUCUUUCAGUGCCUUUAAAAAUUAAACAUUCAAACUACGUAGUUAUAUUGUCAGAAAGCCAAAACAAUGAGACGUUCUUUUUGGUUCAUUAUCUUUCCCGGUUGCAAAGGCCAGGUUACGUAACAAUUUAAAUAAUCUGUACGCGCUAUCCGAAUUCAGAAAGUCAACAAACCUCAUCGAUCUGCCAAUUCUUUGGCAUUAAUAUUUUACUUAAUUCAAAGUAAUGUUAAUCACGCUUUCAGGCUCCAAGGAUUAAUAUAAAUAGAUCCAUCAUCUUCCUUUAAAUCAACAACUAAAGACUACUUGCAGCCAUUAAUUGUGUAAAUUUAGAUUUUAAUCACAACCAUGAUUUCUUCUUCAUCAACGUCACUCAUUGGGCUGCUAUGCUGCCUGAUAGUGUUAUUGAUUCUCCCUUUCCCUUCCCAUGCAAGUGACCCUGAUCCUUUACAAGACAUCUGUGUUGCGGAUUUGAAUGCUUCCGGCUCUAUUAAUGGUUUCCCCUGCAAACCUGAGUCAGAAGUAACUUCUGAUGAUUUCUUCACGGAUUUUUCCAAAGAAGCAGCUACUUUUGAUGUCUUUAAACGUGGAGCUACACUCGGUGAUGUUUUUGGCUUUCCAGUGGUCAAUACUCAAGGAGUUUCACUCUUCCGAAUUGACUUGGGUGUCGGUGGAAUAAACCCGCCUCAUACACACCCUCGUGGAACCGAGGCUGGUAUUGUUACUAGAGGAAAGGUGCUCGUAGGUUUAGUAACAACUAAUAAUACCUUUUUCUCAAAGGUUUUGACUCCCGGGAUGGUAUUCUUAAUUCCUAGAGCAAUGAUUCACUUCCAACUAAAUGUUGGAAAAGGGCCGGCCACAUUUAUACCUAUUUUCAAUACUCAAAAUCCUGGCGUUUCGGACUCACUCACUACUCUUUUUGACACAACACCUCCAAUUCCCGAUGAAGUGUUAACCAAAUCUUUCCGAGUAAGUGAUGAAGUGAUUAAUGUGAUCAGAGCAG